rnacentral:lncRNA from 1 species
ACUUCCACCAAAGCGAUAUCCAACAUCUCAUCGAAAGACGGGACACCUUUGCCUCUAUCAAGUGGUAUCAGAUUUCCAGGUUGCUCGGUGAGAUUUUACAGUUUUUCGUAGUUUAGAUCGAGUCUGUUCUUCAUACCUACAGUCCACGAAAAAGCCACAAAAAAAAUUAGGGUUAGUUCAUCAUAUCCGAACCAAUCUGAGCCUUUGCAUAAUCUUUUUAGGGUUUUGCUUUGUUGAAUUUGCGGUUGCAUCGUCGUGUCUAGUUGCUGGUCUUAGAGUCUAGUCUUUUAGAGUUUCGAGUUCUGGUCAUAAGUUGUCACGCUGCCGCCGCACCAUCAUCAUCGCCCCUGCCAUCUACCACCACCGCUCCGAAUCCGUAUCCAUAUACCACCACCAAUCCGUGUCCAUAUACCACCACCGAUCCAUAUCCAUAUACUACCACCACCGCUGCCAUAUACCACCACCAUAUAUCCACCACCAAUCCAAGUUCCUUGAUUAUUAGGGUUGUUUUCGAGAUCCAUCUAGUUUCCGAUUCGUGUUUCCUUGCCGGAGUAGGUUUCGGAAAAAAAAAUACUAUUGUUUCAGAUCGUGAUACUAAAUUUCUUAACCACUUUUGGAGAUGUUUAUGGGCUAAGUUGGGGACUAAACUGCUUUUUAGUACUACUUGUCACCCCCAAACUGAUGGACAAACUGAAGUAGUCAAUAGAACGUUGUCUACUAUGCUUAGGGCUGUUUUGAAGAAUAAUAAGAAAAUGUGGGAGGAAUGCUUGCCUCAUAUUGAAUUUGCUUAUAAUCGUUCAUUGCAUUCUACUACUAAGAUGUGCCCUUUUGAAGUUGUGUAUGGUUUCCUACCUCGUGCACCUAUUGAUUUGUUGCCUCUUCCAUCUUCGGAGAAGGUUAAUUUUGAUGCUAAACAAUGUGCUGAAUUGAUUUUAAAAAUGCAUGAGUUAACUAAGGAAAAUAUUGAGCGUAUGAAUGCCAAAUAUAAACUUGCUCGAGAUAAGGGUAGAAAACAUGUUGUGUUUGCACCUGGAGAUCUUGUUUGGUUACAUUUGCGUAAGGAUAGAUUUCCUGAUUUGCGCAAAUCAAAGUUAAUGCCACGUGCUGAUGGUCCCUUUAAGGUGUUAGAGAAAAUAAAUGAUAAUGCAUAUAAACUUGAGCUGCCUGCAGAUUUUGGGGUUAGUCCCACUUUUAACAUUGCAGAUUUGAAGCCUUAUUUGGGUGAGGAAGAUGAUCUUCCGUCGAGGACGACUUCAUUUCAAGAAGGGGAGGAUGAUGAGGACAUCAAUACAAUUGUUACACCCACAGCCCCUGCUGCUAUACAUACUGGACCAAUUACUAGAGCUCGUGCACGCCAACUAAAUUACCAGGUACUUUCGUUUCUUGGUAAUGAUUCUAAUGUUCAUGAGAAUAUGAUGCUGCCUAAAUUGGAUACAUUUGUUUUGCUUACAAAUGAAGGGCCUUGCUUGGAGAAGGAUGAACAUUGGAGCAAGAACAAGCAUGGAGAUGAUGGCAUGCGCAAGGGGAACAAGAACGGAGUUACAAGUGAUGAUUUCAGGACUUUGAAGCCACCAUAAUGGGUGCAUGAAGCCUUGGACGAAAUAUACAAGAUGCCACUUCAUAAAUUUCGUCCCGAGGCUAUUUUAGGUGCUGCGUCACCUUAUUAUUGGGCCAGGCCCAUGUAAUUUCGAAAUACAUAAGUAUAGGCUAUUUUUAGAGUACGUAUGUGUGGGGAAACAAGAGAUAGGGUUGAUUUCGGACCCCUCCACCAAGGGCCACGAAAUUCCCCCCCUCUUCCUCCAUAUAUACAGCCCUUAGGGCAUCGUUUAGACUUCGGGUUUUGUUUAGAUUAAAAGUUCGCCAUAGCUGCAACUUCGCGUACUUCGUUUGUGUUCAACGACCAGACAAAGGCGUCAUAGAACCCCACCUUGAUCAAUAAAGCUUUCAUCUUAUAUUCGCAAUAUGAUAGAGGCAAAGGUGUCCCGUCUUUCGAUGAGAUGAUGGAUUUCGCUUUGGUGGAAGUCGACUUUGACGAUCCGACUACGAACGUGCGAGGACGUCGCGCCUUAGCAAUCGCUAAACCAACUCCGAGAGGUUAUUGACCACGCCGGAGCACGAUCAACCUGACCACGAGGGUCUGUUUCCUGCGAGCAAAUGAAGAACAAGCAAGAAACUGAGAUUGCAAUCUGGAUAUUGCGAAUAUAAGAUGAAAGCUUUAUUGAUCAAGGUGGGGUUCUGUGACGCCUUUGUCUGGUCGUUGAACACAAACGAAGUACGCGAAGUUGCAGCUAUGGCGAACUUUUAAUCUAAACAAAACCCAAAGUCUAAACGAUGCCCUAAGGGCUGUAUAUAUGGAGGAAGAGGGGGGAAUUUCGUGGCCCUUGGUGGAGGGGUCCGAAAUCAACCCUAUCUCUUGUUUCCCCACACAUACGGACUCUAAAAAUAGCCUAUACUUAUGUAGUUCGAAAUUACAUGGGCCUGGCCCAAUAAUAAGGUGACGCAGCACCUAAAAUAGCCUCGGGACGAAAUUUAUGAAGUGGCAUCUUGUAUAUUUCGUCCAAGGCUUCAUGCACCCAUUAUGGUGGCUUCAAAGUCCUGAAAUCAUCACUUGUAACUCCGUUCUUGUUCCCCUUGCACAUGCCAUCAUCUCCAUGCUUGUUCUUGCUCCAAUGUUCAUCCUUCUCCAAGCUAGGCCCUUCAUUUGUAAGCAAAACAAAUGUAUCCAAUUUAGGCAGCAUCAUAUUCUCAUGAACAUUAGAAUCAUUACCAAGAAACGAAAGUACCUGGUAAUUUAGUUGGCGUGCACGAGCUCUAGUAAUUGGUCCAGUAUGUAUAGCAGCAGGGGCUGUGGGUGUAACAAUUGUAUUGAUGUCCUCAUCAUCCUCCCCUUCUUGAAAUGAAGUCGUCCUCGACGGAAGAUCAUCUUCCUCACCCAAAUAAGGCUUCAAAUCUGCAAUGUUAAAAGUGGGACUAACCCCAAAAUCUGCAGGCAGCUCAAGUUUAUAUGCAUUAUCAUUUAUUUUCUCUAACACCUUAAAGGGACCAUCAGCACGUGGCAUUAACUUUGAUUUGCGCAAAUCAGGAAAUCUAUCCUUACGCAAAUGUAACCAAACAAGAUCUCCAGGUGCAAACACAACAUGUUUUCUACCCUUAUCUCGAGCAAGUUUAUAUUUGGCAUUCAUACGCUCAAUAUUUUCCUUAGUUAACUCAUGCAUUUUUAAAAUCAAUUCAGCACAUUGUUUAGCAUCAAAAUUAACCUUCUCCGAAGAUGGAAGAGGCAACAAAUCAAUAGGUGCACGAGGUAGGAAACCAUACACAACUUCAAAAGGGCACAUCUUAGUAGUAGAAUGCAAUGAACGAUUAUAAGCAAAUUCAAUAUGAGGCAAGCAUUCCUCCCACAUUUUCUUAUUAUUCUUCAAAACAGCCCUAAGCAUAGUAGACAACGUUCUAUUGACUACUUCAGUUUGUCCAUCAGUUUGGGGGUGACAAGUAGUACUAAAAAGCAGUUUAGUGCCCAACUUAGCCCAUAAACAUCUCCAAAAGUGGCUAAGAAAUUUAGUAUCACGAUCUGAAACAAUAGUAUUUGGCACACCAUGCAAGCGAAUAAUUUCACGAAAGAACAAAUCAGCAACAUUAACAGCAUCAUCGCUUUUAUGACAUGGUAUAAAGUGUGCCAUUUUCGAGAAUCUAUCCACGACAACAAAUAUGCUAUCCCUCCCCUUCUUUGUUCGAGGUAAACCUAAAACAAAGUCCAUAGAUAUAUCCUCCCAAGGAACACUAGGUACAGGCAAAGGCAUAUAUAAACCAUGAGGAUUGAGUCGUGACUUAGCUUUUUGACAUGUAGUGCAGCGAGCAAUAAAACGCUCAACAUCCCGUCUCAUCUUUGGCCAAAAGAAAUGUGUAGCAAGUACGUCCUCCGUCUUCUUCACGCCAAAGUGUCCCAUUAAUCCUCCUCCAUGCGCCUCCUGCAACAACAAAAGACGAACGGAGCUAGCUGGAAUGCAUAGCUUGUUAGCACAAAACACAAAUCCAUCAUUAACGACGAACUUGUUCCACAUUCUUCCUUCUUUACAAUUCUGCAUUACAUCUUUAAAAUCAGCAUCAUGCACAUAUUGAUCUUUGAUGGUCUCCAAACCAAAUAUUUUGAAGUCAAGUUGUGAAAGCAUAGUAUAGCGGCGAGACAAUGCAUCAGCAAUAACAUUUUCUUUUCCCUUCUUGUGUUUAAUGACAUAAGGAAAAGUCUCAAUGAAUUCAACCCAUUUAGCAUGUCUACGAUUCAGUUUAGCUUGACUUUUAAUAUGUGAUGAGGACAUCAAUACAAUUGUUACACCCACAGCCCCUGCUGCUAUACAUACUGGACCAAUUACUAGAGCUCGUGCACGCCAACUAAAUUACCAGGUACUUUCGUUUCUUGGUAAUGAUUCUAAUGUUCAUGAGAAUAUGAUGCUGCCUAAAUUGGAUACAUUUGUUUUGCUUACAAAUGAAGGGCCUAGCUUGGAGAAGGAUGAACAUUGGAGCAAGAACAAGCAUGGAGAUGAUAGCAUGCGCAAGGGGAACAAGAACGGAGUUACAAGUGAUGAUUUCAGGACUUUGAAGCCACCAUAAUGGGUGCAUGAAGCCUUGGACGAAAUAUACAAGAUGCCACUUCAUAAAUUUCGUCCCGAGGCUAUUUUAGGUGCUGCGUCACCUUAUUAUUGGGCCAGGCCCAUGUAAUUUCGAAAUACAUAAGUAUAGGCUAUUUUUAGAGUCCGUAUGUGUGGGGAAACAAGAGAUAGGGUUGAUUUCGGACCCCUCCACCAAGGGCCACGAAAUUCCCCCCUCUUCCUCCAUAUAUACAGCCCUUAGGGCAUCGUUUAGACUUUGGGUUUUGAUGAGGACAUCAAUACAAUUGUUACACCCAUAGCCCCUGCUGCUAUACAUACUGGACCAAUUACUAGAGCUCGUGCACGCCAACUAAAUUACCAGGUACUUUCGUUUCUUGGUAAUGAUUCUAAUGUUCAUGAGAAUAUGAUGCUGCCUAAAUUGGAUACAUUUGUUUUGCUUACAAGUGAAGGGCCUAGCUUGGAGAAGGAUGAACAUUGGAGCAAGAACAAGCAUGGAGAUGAUGCCAUGCGCAAGGGGAACAAGAACGGAGUUACAAGUGAUGAUUUCAGGACUUUGAAGCCACCAUAAUGGGUGCAUGAAGCCUUGGACGAAAUAUACAAGAUGCCACUUCAUAAAUUUCGUCCCGAGGCUAUUUUAGGUGCUGCAUCACCUUAUUUUUGGGCCAGGCCCAUGUAAUUUCGAAAUACAUAAGUAUAGGCUAUUUUUAGAGUCCGUAUGUGUGGGGAAACAAGAGAUAGGGAUGAUUUCGGACCCCUCCACCAAGGGCCACGAAAUUCCCCCCUCUUCCUCCAUAUAUACAGCCCUUAGGGCAUCGUUUAGACUUUGGGUUUUGUUUAGAUUAAAAGUUCGCCAUAGCUGCAACUUCGCGUACUUCGUUUGUGUUCAACGACCAGACAAAGGCGUCACAGAACCCCACCUUGAUCAAUAAAGCUUUCAUCUUAUAUUCGCAAUAUCCAGAUUGCACUCUUAGUUUCUUGCUUGUUCUUCGUUUGCUCGCAGGAUACAGACCCUCGUGGUCAGGUUGAUCGUGCUCCGGCGUGGUCAAUAACCUCUCGGAGUUGGUUUAGCGAUUGCUAAGGCGCGACGUCCUCCCACGUUCGUAGUCGGAUCGUCAAAGUCGACUUCCACCAAAGCGAUAUCCAUCAUCUCAUCGAAAGACGGGACACCUUUGCCUCUAUCAGGUUUUGUUUAGAUUAAAAGUUCGCCAUAGCUGCAACUUCGCGUACUUCGUUUGUGUUCAACGACCAGACAAAGGCGUCACAGAACCCCACCUUGAUCAAUAAAGCUUUCAUCUUAUAUNNNNNNNNNNNNNNNNNNNNNNNNNNNNNNNNNNNNNNNNNNNNNNNNNNNNNNNNNNNNNNNNNNNNNNNNNNNNNNNNNNNNNNNNNNNNNNNNNNNNNNNNNNNNNNNNNNNNNNNNNNNNNNNNNNNNNNNNNNNNNNNNNNNNNNNNNNNNNNNNNNNNNNNNNNNNNNNNNNNNNNNNNNNNNNNNNNNNNNNNNNNNNNNNUCUUCCUCCAUAUAUACAGCCCUUAGGGCAUCGUUUAGACUUUGGGUUUUGUUUAGAUUAAAAGUUCGCCAUAGCUGCAACUUCGCGUACUUCGUUUGUGUUCAACGACCAGACAAAGGCGUCACAGAACCCCACCUUGAUCAAUAAAGCUUUCAUCUUAUAUUCGCAAUAUCCAAAUUGCAAUCUUAGUUUCUUGCUUGUUCUUCGUUUGCUCGCAGGAAACAGACCCUCGUGGUCAGGUUGAUCGUGCUCCGGCGUGGUCAAUAACCUCUCGGAGUUGGUUUAGCGAUUGCUAAGGCGCGACGUCCUCGCACGUUCGUAGUCGGAUCGUCAAAGUCGACUUCCACCAAAGCGAUAUCCAACAUCUCAUCGAAAGACGGGACACCUUUGCCUCUAUCAAAUAUGGACAUCAUCUCGUACCUGAGGUGGUGGUGCAGGCCUACCAUUACGAAUAUAUACCUGAGGUCGACCUGCUGGUGGUGGUGCAGGUGGCUGCACGUAGUGCUGAUUUUGAUCAACCUCAUCCUCAUAAUCGCCCGCAUACUCAUCAUCCUCCUGGGUACCAGCAGCAGCAGUAGCAGGAGCCAAAGAAGCACCAACAGCAGUAGCAGCGGCACCAGAAUUUUGUCCUGGCUCAAUAGGAACACGCUGUGCUUGUCCAUACUGAUUCGGAAGGGGGCGUAGUUGUUGUUGCAGAGGUGCGACAGGUGCAGCCGGUGGUGGAAGACGCGCAAGCAGUUCAUUAAAUCUGUUAUCGAGCUUUGUUUCGAACGUCUUCUCAAGGCCAGUGAUCUUUUCCAUGGCCUCUUCAAAAUUGUUCAGCACAUCUUGUACCUGUUCAGUCAUCAUUUGCUGAAACUUAUCAUGAAGCUCCUUGUUCGAUAAGUUCUCCCAGUCAAUCUCGUCGGCUUGUGAUCCUGGCAUGGUUAGCAGCAAUAGAAACACACAAGAAUAUGAUCCUACAGACUACGAACAAGUGGUGGUGGUGGAUGUCACAAAUCCGUCAAGCAAAACUCAAAUUCUUACCAGUUCUUACCCAGCAACCGUUGAUCGGCAACCGUUGUAGUCAAAACUCUCAAAGCUUGGAUAGAGCGAUUACCAGGGAGAAUCAAACGCACGAGGUAGAUGUAUGUGGAGCUGGGAAGGCUUAUAAUAUGGUAGCAAAAGGGGUAAGCAAUAAUCAAUUCAGAGAUGCAAAGUUGAAUAAACGCUCAACGACGGUACUGUGCUGGUCCUAGGCUAGACCGUGCUAGAGACGCGAGCCUAGAACACUAACAAAAUCACGGCGCUGCACGUAAACAAGGGAAAAGCACACUCUGGAAAUUUUUUUCUCGCUCUCUUUUUUUUUGCGCUGUUUUUUUUGCGCUGCUCUUUUUUUGCGAAAAAUCACUAUAAUGGCGAGUGUCUCAAAACUCUUCCCAGGUCAAACUGACAGGAUGGGCACGAAAUUUUUUUUUGACCAAUUUUUUUUUUCGACUGCCCGGACCCAAAAACUGGAAAGGGGUCAAAAAAAACUUUCUAUAACGGCGACUGUCUCAAUAUGCUUAGAAGCACCUAAAAAAAGCAUAGCCAGAAAUUUAUUCGACAAGUGCGUUUUUGGAAAAUUUUGGGCCUAAACGGAGGGUGGUUUCCGGACUCUUUUUUUUACGAAACCUACUCCGGCAAGGAAACACGAAUCGGAAUCUAGAUGGAUCUCGAAAACAAACCUAAUAAGCAAGGAACUCGGAUUGGUGGUGGAUAUAUGGUGGUGGUAUAUGGCAGCGGUGGUGGUAGCGGUGGUAGUAUAUGGAUAUGGAUCGGUGGUGGUAUAUGGACACGGAUUGGUGGUGGUAUAUGGAUACGGAUUCGGAGCGGUGGUGGUAGAUGGCAGGGGCGAUGAUGAUGGUGCGGCGGCGGCGUGACAACUUAUGACCAGAACUCGAAACUCUAAAAGACUAGACUCUAAGACCAGCAACUAGACACGACGAUGCAACCGCAAAUUCAACAAAGCAAAACCCUAAAAAGAUUAUGCAAAGGGUCAGAUUGGUUCGGAUAUGAUGAACUAACCCUAAUUUUUUUUGUGGCUUUUUCGUGGACUGUAGGUAUGAAGAACAGACUCGAUCUAAACUAUGAAAAACUGUAAAAUCUCACCGAGCAACCUGGAAAUCUGAUACCACUUGAUAGAGGCAAAGGUGUCCCGUCUUUCGAUGAGAUGAUGGAUAUCGCUUUGGUGGAAGUCGACUUUGACGAUCCGACUACGAACGUGCGAGGACGUCGCGCCUUAGCAAUCGCUAAACCAACUCCGAGAGGUUAUUGACCACGACGGAGCACGAUCAACCUGACCACGAGGGUAUGUUUCCUGCGAGCAAACGAAGAACAACCAAGAAACUGAGAUUGCAAUCUGGAUAUUGCGAAUAUAAGAUGAAAGCUUUAUUGAUCAAGGUGGGGUUCUGUGACGCCUUUGUCUGGUCGUUGAACACAAACGAAGUACGCGAAGUUGCAGCUAUGGCGAACUUUAAUCUAAACAAAACCCAAAGUCUAAACGGUGCCCUAAGGGCUGUAUAUAUGGAGGAAGAGAGGGGGAAUUUCGUGGCCCUUGGUGGAGGGGUCCGAAAUCAACCAUAUCUCUUGUUUCCCCACACAUACGGACUCUAAAAAUAGCAUAUACUAAUGUAUUUCGAAAUUACAUGGGCCUGGCCCAAUAAAAAGGUGACGCAGCACCUAUAAUAGCCUCUGGACGAAAUUUAUGAAGUGGCAUCUUGUAUAUUUCGUCCAAGGCUUCAUGCACUCUUAUGGUGGCUUCAAAGUCCUGAAAUCAUCACUUGUAACUCCGUUCUGGUUCCCCUUGCGCAUGGCAUCAUCUCCAUGCUUGCUUUUGCUCCAAUGUCCAUCCUUCUCCAAGCUAGGCCCUUCAUUUGUAAGCAAAACAAAUGUAUCCAAUUUAGGCAGCAUCAUAUUCUCAUGAACAUUAGAAUCAUUACCAAGAAACGAAAGUACCUGAUAAUUUAAUUGGCGUGCGCGAGCUCUAGUAAUUGGUCCAGUAUAUGUAGCAGUAGGGGCUGUGGGUGUAACAAUGGUAUUGAUGUCCUCAUCAGCUUUAGAUUUUAUGAACUAUUCAAGUUACUCAUCUAUUCAUGUGUCAUAUAUGCAAAAAUCAAGGGAAGUAAAAAUGGAUGACGUAUACAUAUACAACAUGUACACCUUGUCUCUUUUGUUAGCCACAUUUCAGAUUAAGCAACGCCGAGGACGGCUUUAUUUUCAAGAAGGGGAGGAUGAUGAGGACAUGACUACCUUCGAUAUGACCAAAAUUAUUGCAUAUAUGCAUAUUUGUCAGGUGAUUUUUAAUGCAAACUAUUCAAUAAUCUAUUUAUUUUAUCCAGAACAAAAAUACUUCACACACUUUCGUGUUUUGUCUAAUUACAGGUGUAUGGGACAUUUGUACAAUCCACAUAUGAAGAUAAGGAAGAAAGAGAUGUUUAUUUGUUGUUCAAAAAGUUCUUUCACUUCACUUUUGGCCCAAGAGAAGAUAGAGUCCAAGUCUCUCACGUUCUGGAUUCAGAUUCGGACUGCACAGACAUACCUGACUCAAAAUGCCCACAACUUUUUCAUACGGACUCCGAAUUGGGUGAUUCUUUUUUUGGUGGAAACUAGAUUUCGUGCACUUUCCAACCCAAUUGGAAUCACCUUCAAAUUCGUCCGGAGCGUUGAGUUAUGGACCAAACAAUCUGAUGCUGCAGCAGAAUCCGAGUCAAACUAAAAGUCCAAAGGUGUUACAUCACCUCCACUUGGGCCCAUUGGCCUUGUACGACCUAGAUUUAGUUUUAGGCUGCCUUGGGACGUCCUCCCACCUCCUUGGCCGCCACCCCUUGCUCCUAUAUAAGUAGAUCCAUCUACUAGCUUUUUCCUUGGGAUUUGUUUAGUUAAAAGUUAGCCAUUGCAACUUCGUGUACUUCGUUUGUGUCCAACGACCAGACCAAGACCGCUUACGGAUCCCCACCUUUAUCAAUACUUCAUAUAUACUCGCAAUAUUCAGAUUGCUUUUAUCAUAUUCUUGCUUGUUCUUCGAUUGCUUGCAGGAAUAGACCUUCGUGGUCAGAUUGAUUGUGCUCCGGCGUGGUCAAUAACCUCUCGGAGUUGGUUUAGCGAUUGCUAAGGCGCAACGUCGUGCACGUUUGUAGUCGGAUCGUCAAAGUCGUCUCCACCAAAUCGAUAGUUAUCAUCUCAUCGAAAGAUCGGGACACCCCGCCUCUAUCAAGGCCACAAGUCCUAUGAAUGCACCAACAAGCGCACCAUGAUCCUCAACGACGAUGGCACCUACGACUCAAUGAGUCAAGAUGAAAUGGAAGCUAUUGAGCAAGUGGCCAUGCACCGGCGCGUGAACGAGGAUGAAGAUGAUCAAGUCUUUUGUGAUGAAGAUACGAGCCCCGCUCUUGUUGUCUCCAAGGUCUUGACACUUCAACAUCAACAAGAAGAAGACCAACGAUGCCACAUCUUCCACACAAAGGCCGACAUCAAUGGACGAUCCGUCAAGGUCAUCAUCGAUGGAGGUAGUUGCCACAACUUGGCAAGCGAAGAACUAUGCUCCAAGCUUCAAUUGGUCAAGAAGAAGCACCCGCACCCCUACAAGGUUCAAUGGCUAAGUGCCUCCGGCACUAUACGAGUUGAGCAUAUGGUCCAAGUACCCUUCAAAAUUGGUGCAUAUGAGGACACUUUGGAGUGUGAUGUGGUCCCAAUGACCGUUUGCCACCUCCUCCUUGGGCGGCCUUGGCAAUUCGACCAUGGUGUCUUCCACAAUGGGCGUACAAACCACUAUAGCUUCAAGAUGAAAGGAAAAGAAUAUGUGCUACGACCCAUGUCUCCUAGUCAAGUAAUAGCCAACAAGCAAGCCACCAACCAAAGAGAGAAGAGUGAGAAAGUGAGCUACCAAAAAGUGAGUGACAGCCACAAGCCAAACUUGAGCGCCUCUUCGCCUAGAGAGAAAAACCUCAUACUAUUUGCCACCAAAAGUGAGAUGAGAGAAGUAUGUGAGAACCCAUCGAGUGUGAUGCACUUUGUCCUUGUGUGCAAGGAUGGAGAAACAAAAACUAACACCAUUCACGAGCUACCUUUGGUGUUUCAAUCUCUUUUGCAGGAAUUUCAAGAUGUUUUCCCUGAUGAGCUACCUCCGGGUCUACCUCCUCUACGAGGCAUUGAGCAUCGAAUCGACCUCAUCCCCGAAGCACCACUUCCAAACAAAGCUCCAUACCGUGUCAAUCCCGAAGAAACCAAGGAGAUUCAACGGCAAGUACAACAACUAAUCGACAACGGUCAUGUACGUGAAAGCUUAAGCCCUUGUGCCGUUCCCGUUAUACUUGUGCCUAAGCCCGACGGAAGUUUCCGCUUGUGCUCCGAUUGUAGACCUAUAAAUGCUAUCACCGUUCGCUAUAGGCAUCCCAUUCCUCGCUUAGAUGAUAUGCUUGAUGAACUUAGUGGAGCCAACUUUUUCUCAAAAAUUGAUCUUAAAAGUGACUAUUAUCAAAUCCGCAUUCAUGAGGGUGAUGAAUGGAAAACUGCUUUUAAAACCAAAUUUGGCUUAUAUGAGUGGUUGGUUAUGCCUAUGGGUUUAUCGGAGGCUCCCGGUACUUUUGUGCGUCUCAUGCAUCAUGUCCUUCGACCUUAUAUUGGAGUCUUUGUUGUGGUUUACUUCGAUGAUAUUCUUGUGUUUAGCAAAACCAUGAAAGAGCAUCUUGAUUAUGUUAAGCUUGUUUUGCAAACACUUAGAAAGGAAAGUCUUUAUGCCAACUUGAAAAAAUGCACUUUUGGCGUUGACAAAGUGGUUUUCUUGGGUUUUGUUGUCUCUUCCAAGUGUGUCCAUGUUGAUGAAACUAAAAUUGAAGCAAUUAAAACUUGGCCCCAACCCACCAAUUUGCAACAAGUGCGAAGUUUCCUUGGUCUUGCAGGUUUUUACCGCCGCUUUGUGAAAUUUUUUAGCACAAUAGCCGCUCCUUUGCAUGCUUUGAGUAAGAAGAAUACUCCUUUUGUUUGGGGAUCUUUGCAAUCCAACGCUUUUGAUGAGCUCAAGUCUUUGCUUACUCAUGCUCCGAUUCUUGCUUUGCCCAAUUUUGACAAAACUUUUGAGGUUCAUUGUGAUGCAAGUGGUACCGGAAUUGGCGGAGUUUUGAUGCAAGAAAAACGAGCAAUUGCUUAUUUUAGUGAAAAACUCUGCGGUGCUCAACUUAACUAUCCCAUAUAUGACAAAGAAUUGUAUGCUUUAGUGCGUGUACUACAUGUGUACUACAUGUUUGGGAACAUUAUCUUCGACCUCAUGAGUUUGUCAUCCAUACCGAUCAUGAAACGCUUAAGUACUUGGAGGGUCAAACUAAAUUGAACAAGCGUCAUGCCAAAUGGAGUGAAUUUAUUGAAUCUUUCCCAUAUGUGAUCAAGUACAUUAAGGGUAAGGAAAAUGUAGUUGCCGAUGCACUUUCACGCAUAUGCACGCUUGUCACCCAACUUGAGUUGAAUGUUAUUGGCUUUGAGCACAUAAAAGAUUUGUAUGCUAGUGAUCCAUCUUUUGCACCUCAUUAUGCUAAAUGUUUGACGCAUACAUCUUGGGAACAAUAUUACCUCAAGGAUGGUUAUCUUAUGAGAGCUAACAAACUAUGCAUUCCCGAGUCUUCUCUUCGUUUCCUCCUUUUGCAAGAGGCUUAUGGAGGCGGACUCAUGGGACAUUUUGGACGGGACAAGACUUUCGCCACACUCUCCAAGAACUACUUUUGGCCCAAGAUGUUUCGAGACGUCUCGCGCUUCACCACUCGAUGCUCUACAUGCCGCAAAGCUAAGUCAAAAGCUCAAUCUCAUGGUCUUCACAUGCCUCUUCCUAUUCCUUAUCAACCUUGGGAAGACAUUAGCAUGGAUUUUGUACUUGGUUUGCCUAGAACUCAAAAUGGAAAAGGAUUCCGUGUUUGUUGUUGUGGACCGAUUUUCUAAGAUGGCACAUUUCAUUCCUUGCAACAAGGUAGACGAUGCUUCACAUAUUGCAAAUCUCUUUUGUAGGGAAAUCUUGCGCCUCCAUGGAGUACCAAAGACAAUCGUCUCCGACCGCGACAUCAAGUUCUUGAGUUACUUUUGGAAGACUCUAUGCGCCAAUGAUGUAGGGUAGAACCCUAGGGAGGGAUCUUUUCACACUUGGAGGGGGAAAAUGGAGGGAAACACAAGAACAACAAGAACACAAGGAUGAACACAAAGAGGAAAUCACUCCAACAAUUCCCAAUUACACAUCCACUAGAGUAACAACACAAGAUCCACAAGUCUCAAACACAAUCAAAGGAAAGAUACAAUGGCAAAGUUCAUCCCAAAUCCAAAGGAAGAGGGGUCUUGGUGGUAGUAGAUAGUCUUCUCCUAAUGGAGGUCUUGAAAUCCUCAAGGAUUCUUCCCUAUGGGGUCUUGAUCCUCAAAGAGGGAAGGUAAUGGAGCAAAGCUCACCAAGAUCUCAUCUAAUACUUUGCUAACCCUAAACAUGGCCCUAGGUACGAAUUAUAUAGGCUUGGGGUCGAAGGAGGAGAAGUGGAGCCGAAGUCAUCAUCAUAGCCGUCCAUCCUGGGAGGCCCGUGCGCACGGGGUAAGUUGGGCCCGUGCGCACGGGGGUCCCGUGGGCACGGUACAAGCCCGUGCGCACGGGGUACUCCAGCGUCAACUCCCUGGGUAGCCCGUGGGCACGGGGUCUUGGGGGCCCGUGCCCACGGGGUUGCCUGGAGCCUCCUGUGCUGCUGUUGUUGUUCUCGUGCUUGGUCCUUGUGGCCUUGGGGUGGUUCUCCUUCUUCUUGGGGAUGCUCCUGAGCUCCUUGGUGGUGUUCCUCUUCGUACCUAAGGAGGCAUAUCACAUUUUGGUGAGGUAGUAUACAUGUUCCAUUUGGGUUCAUAUGCAAGUCUAGUAGGAAGGAGUUCACCUCGGUUUCCAAAGCACGUGCUCUAGCUCUUGUCAUGGGUCCUUGUGGGGUUGGAUGUGUUGAUGUAGAGUCCAUGGGGAUGAUGGAAGGAUGCUCCGCAUCAUCUCCCCUCCCUUCGAAAGGAUCCGACCUCGGAUCAAGAUCUUCAUCACCAUGGAAAGGCGCGAGGUCUUUGACGUUGAAGAUGUCUCUCACGUUGUACUUGUCUCGUGGGAGUUCAAUCUUGUAGGCGUUGUCGUUGUAGCGUGCUAGCACCUUGAAUGGUCCAUCGGCUCGAGGUAGUAGUUUGGACUUGCGUUCGUUGGGGAAGCGUUCCUUGCGAAGGUGUAGCCACACGAGAUCACCUAUGUUGAAGAUCAUGGGUUGCUUGUUGACGUUGAGCUUGGUCGCUAGUCGAUGUACUUGGCGCUCGAUGAUGUUUCUUGUAUCUUCAUGCAUCUUCUUGAUGUAGCUUGCUCGUUCACUCGCAUCCAUGUUGGUUCGUUCUUAUAGAGGUAGAGGUAGAAUGUCCAAUGGGGACAACGGGUUGAAGCCGUAGACGACCUCGAAGGGGGACUUGCCGGUAGUCGAAUGUCUUGCGCGGUUGUAGGCGUACUCGGCGAUGGGUAGACAUGCCUCCCACUCCUUGAUGUUCUUCUUGAUCAACACGUGAAGUAGAGUGGAGAGUGUCCGGUUCGUCACCUCCGUUUGGCCAUCGGUUUGAGGAUGGUAUGCGGAUGAGAACAAGAGCUUGAUUCCGAGCUUGGCGCAUAGAGUCUUCCAAAAGUAACUCAAGAACUUGACGUCACGGUCGGAGACGAUUGAUGAGGACAUCAAUACCAUUGUUACACCCACAGCUCCUACUUCUACAUAUACUGGACCAAUUACUAGAGCUCGCGCACGCCAAUUAAAUUAUCAGGUACUUUCGUUUCUUGGUAAUGAUUCUAAUGUUCAUAAGAAUAUGAUGCUGCCUAAAUUGGAUACAUUUGUUUUGCUUACAAAUGAAGGGCCUAGCUUGGAGAAGGAUGGACAUUGGAGCAAGAACAAGCAUGGAGAUGAUGCCAUGCGCAAGGGGAACCAGAACGGAGUUACAAGUAAUGAUUUCAGGACUUUGAAGCCACCAUAAUGGGUGCAUGAAGCCUUGGACAAAAUAUACAAGAUGCCACUUCAUAAAUUUCGUCCCGAGGCUAUUAUAGGUGCCGCGUCACCUUUUUAUUGGGCCAGGCCCAUGUAAUUUCGAAAUACAUAGGUAUAGGCUAUUUUUAGAGUCCGUAUGUGUGGGGAAACAAGAGAUAGGGUUGAUUUCGGACCCCUCCACCAAGGGCCACGAAAUUCCCCCCUCUUCCUCCAUAUAUACAACCCUUAGGACACCAUUUAGACUUUGGCUUUUGUUUAGAUUAAAGUUCACCAUAGCUGCAACUUCGCGUACUUCGUUUGUGUUCAACGACCAGACAAAGGCGUCACAGAACCCCACCUUGAUCAACAAAGCUUUCAUCUUAUAUUCGCAAUAUCCAGAUUGCAAUCUCAGUUUCUUGCUUGUUCUUCGUUUGCUCGCAGGAAACAGACCCUCGUGGUCAGGUUGAUCGUGCUCCGGCGUGGUCAAUAACCUCUCGGAGUUGGUUUAGCGAUUGCUAAGGCGCGACGUCCUCGCACGUUCGUAGUCGGAUCGUCAAAGUCGACUUCCACCAAAGCGAAAACCAUCAUCUCAUCGAAAGACGGGACACCUUUGCCUCUAUCAAGUGGUAUCAGAUUUCCAGGUUGCUCGGUGAGAUUUUACAGUUUUUCGUAGUUUAGAUCGAGUCUCAUACCUACAGUCCACGAAAAAGCCACAAAAAAAAAUAGGGUUAGUUCAUCAUAUCCGAACCAAUCUGAGCCUUUGCAUAAUCUUUUUAGGGUUUUGCUUUGUUGAAUUUGCGGUUGCAUCGUCGUGUCUAGUUGCUGGUCUUAGAGUCUAGUCUUUUAGAGUUUCGAGUUCUGGUCAUAAGUUGUCACGCCGCCGCCGCACCAUCAUCAUCGUCCCUGCCAUCUACCACCACCGCUUAUCCGCCACUGCUCCGAAUCCGUAUCCAUAUACCACCACCAAUCCGUGUCCAUAUACCACCACCGAUCCAUAUCCAUAUACUACCACCGCUACCACCACCACUGCCAUAUACCACCACCAUAUAUCCACCACCAAUCCGAGUUCCUUGCAUAUUAGGUUUGUUUUCGGGAUCCAUCUAAUUUCCGAUUCGUGUUUCCUUGUCUGAGUAGGUUUCGGAUUCCAGCAAUCUUUUGCCGUCCGUAGAAGAGGUUGGUUUCCAAAAAAAAAAGAGUCCGGAAACCACUCUCCGUUUAGGCCCAAAAUUUUUGGAAAACGCACUUGACAAAAAAAUUUCUGGCUAUCCUAUUUUUAGGUGUUUCUAAGCGUAUUGAGACAGUCGCCGUUAUAGAAAGUUUUUUUUGACCCGUUUCCAGUUUUUGGGUCCGGGCAGUCAAAAAAAAAAAAUUUUUGGUCACAAAACUUUCGUGCCCAUCCUGUCAGUUUGACCUGGGAAGAGUUUUGAGACACUCGCCAUUAUAGUGAUUUUUCGCAAAAAAAAAGAGAGCAGCGCAAAAAAAAAGCAGCGCAAAAAAAAGAGUGAAAAAAAAUUCGAGAGUGUGCUUUUCCCUUGUUUACGUGCAGCGCCGUGAUUUUGUUAGUGUUCUAGGCUCGCGUCUCUAGCACGGUCUAGCCUAGGACCAGCACAGUACCGUCGUUGAGCGUUUAUUCAACUUUGCAUCUCUGAAUUGAUUAUUGCUGACCCUUUUUGCUACCAUAUUAUAAGCCUUCCCAGCUCCACAUACAUCUACGUCGUGCGUUUGACUUUCCCUGGUAAUCGCUCUAUCCAAGCUUUGAGAAGUUUUGACUACAACGGUUGCCGAUCACCACCUGCUGCUGGGUAAGAACUGGUAAGAAUUUGAGGUUUGCUUGACGGGUUUGUGAUACACCACCACAACUUCUUAGUAGUCUGUAGGAUCAUAUUCUUGUGUGUUUCUAUUGCUGCUAACCAUGCCAGGAUCACAAGCCGAUGAGAUUGACUGGGAGAACUUAUCGAACAAGGAGCUUCAUGAUAAGUUUCAGCAAAUGAUGAAUGAACAGGUGCAAGAUGUGUUGAACAAUUUUGAAGAGGCCAUGGAGAAGAUUAUUGGCCUUGAGAAGACGUUCGAAACAAAGCUCGAUAACAGAUUAAAUGAACUGCUUGCGCGUCUUCCACCACCGGCUGCACCUGUCGCACCUCUGCAACAACAACAACUACGCCCCCUUCCGAAUCAGUAUGGACGAGCACAGCGUGUUCCUAUUGAGCCAGGACAAAAUUCUGGUGCCGCUGCUACUGCUGUUGGUGCUUCUUUGGCUCCUGCUACUGCUGCUGCUGGUACCCAGGAGGAUGAUGAUUAUGUGGGAGAUUAUGAGCAUGAGGUUGAUCAAAAUCCGAACUACGUGCAGCCACCAGCACCACCACCACCAGGUCGACCUCAGGUAUAUAUUCGUAAUGGUAGGCCUGCACCACCACCUUAGGUACGAGAUGAUGUCCAUAUUCCUAAACUGAAAUUGAAUAUUCCACCAUUUGAGGGUAGAUAUGUUCCUGAUAUAUAUCUUACUUGGGAGUUAGAAACUGAACAACGAUUUACAUGUUUACAAUAUCCUGAGGAGAGACGAGUUGCUGCUGCUGUUUGUGCUUUCACUAGUUUUGCAUGUGUAUGGUGGUCUGAACAUUGUAGAUUAUAUCCUAUUCCAACUACUUGGGCUGCUUUGAAAACUGCUAUGCGUACGCGUUGGGUUCCACCAUAUUAUCAACGUGAAUUGCUUCAAAAAUUGCAGCAUUUAAGACAAGGGAAAAAUUCUGUAGAAGAAUAUUAUCAGGAAUUACAAACUGGCAUGAUUAGAUGUGGUAUUGUCGAGGAGAAUGAAGCUAUGCUUGCACGUAUUCUGGGUGGAUUAAAUAGAGAGAUUCAGACCAUUCUAGACUAUAAGGAGUAUACUAAUAUCACUCGUUUAUUCUAUCUUGCUUGUAAAGCUGAACGUGAAGUGCAGGAUCGACAAGCAUUGGGGCGAACUAACUUUUCUGUAGGCCGACCUUCAUCAUGGACACCAUGUGCAUCUUCUACUUCAACUGCACCAGCACCUCCAUCCGGUGCCACCUCCAGCCGUGAUACAAGAAAAUAGGCACAACCACCAUUACCUGCCAAGAGCGCACCUGCGGGGCCCGCACAUCGUUCUUCUUCUUCCAUGGCAUCAACAGGGCACACAAGUGAUAUUAUUUGUCGUCGUUGUAAGGGAGGAGGUCAUUAUGCGAGAGAAUGCAAAUCUCCGCGUGUGAUGAUUGCUACCGCGGAUGGUGGAUAUGAGUCUGCUAGUGACUAUGAUGAGGAGACUUUGGCUCUUAUUACACGUGAAGAACAUGGUGGAGAUGAUUCUGAUCAUGAGACGCAAUACAUGGCUCCUGAAGACGCUGACAGGUAUGAAUGUUUAGUUGCUCAACGUGUUUUGAGUGUGCAGAGCACACAAACUGAGCAAAAUCAAAGGCACAGUUUGUUCCAUACCAAGGGAGUUGUGAAGGAACGUUCUGUGCGCGUCAUCAUAGACGGAGGGAGCUGCAACAACUUGGCUAACAUGGAGAUGGUGGAGAAGCUUUCUCUCACCACAAGACCACAUCCAGAUCCUUACUACAUCCAAUGGUUCAACAAUAGCGGCAAGGUUAAGGUAACACGUACUGUUCGUGUGCAUUUUAGUAUCUCUACAUAUGCUGAUUAUGUUGAUUGUGAUGUGGUACCUAUGCAAGCAUGUUCCUUAUUACUUGGUAGACCAUGGCAAUUUGAUAAAAAUUAUGUACACCAUGGUAGAAACAAUCACUAUACUCUUGUUCAUAAGGAUAAAAAUAUUACUUUGCUUCCUGAUGAGGACAUCAAUACCAUUGUUACACCCACAGCCCCUACUGCUACAUAUACGGGACCAAUUACUAGAGCUCGCGCACGCCAAUUAAAUUAUCAGGUACUUUCGUUUCUUGGUAAUGAUUCUAAUGUUCAUGAGAAUAUGAUGCUGCCUAAAUUGGAUACAUUUGUUUUGCUUACAAAUGAAGGGCCUAGCUUGGAGAAGGAUGAACAUUGGAGCAAGAACAAGCAUGGAGAUGAUGCCAUGCGCAAGGGGAACAAGAACGGAGUUACAAGUGAUGAUUUCAGGACUUUGAAGCCACCAUAAUGGGUGCAUGAACCCUUGGACGAAAUAUACAAGAUGCCACUUCAUAAAUUUCGUCCCGAGGCUAUUAUAGGUGCUGCGUCACCUUUUUAUUGGGCCAGGCCCAUGUAAUUUCGAAAUACAUAAGUAUAGGCUAUUUUUAGAGUCCGUAUGUGUGGGGAAACAAGAGAUAGGGUUGAUUUCCGACCCCUCCACCAAGGGCCACGAAAUUCCCCCUCUCUUCCUCCAUAUAUACAGCCCUUAGGGCACCAUUUAGACUUUGGGUUUUGUUUAGAUUAAAAGUUCGCCAUAGCUGCAACUUCGCGUACUUCGUUUGUGUUCAACCACCAGACAAAGGCGUCACAGAACCCCACCUUGAUCAAUAAAGCUUUCAUCUUAUAUUCGCAAUAUCCAGAUUGCAAUCUCAGUUUCUUGCUUGUUCUUCGUUUGCUUGCAGGAAACAGACCCUCGUGGUCAGGUUGAUCGUGCUCCGGCGUGGUCAAUAACCUCUCGGAGUUGGUUUAGCGAUUGCUAAGGCGCGACGUCCUCGCACGUUCGUAGUCGGAUCGUCAAAGUCGACUGCCACCAAAGCGAUAUCCAUCAUCUCAUCGAAAGACGGGACACCUUUGCCUCUAUCAAGUGGUAUCAGAUUUCCAGGUUGCUCGGUGAGAUUUUACAAUUUUUCGUAGUGUAGAUCGAGUCUGUUCUUCAUACCUAUAGUCCACGAAAAAGCAAAAAAAAAAAUUAGGGUUAGUUCAUCCCAUCCGAACCAAUCUGAGCCUUGCAUAAUCUUUUCUGUAUUUGCUUUGUUGAAUUUGCGGUUGCAUCGUCGUGUCCAGUUGCUGGUCUUAGCGUCUAGUCUUUUAGAGUUUCGAGUUCUGUUCACAGGUUGUCACGUCGCCGCUGCCAUAUAUCACCACCGCAUCAUCAUCGUCGCUGUUGCCAUAUACCACCACCACAUAUUCACCGCCAAUCCAAAUCCAUAUACGCCACCACAUAUCCGCCGUCAUCACGCCAAUCCGAGUUCACCUGCAACAUAUAUCCGCCACCUGUCCGUGUUCCACCAGUUUCAUCUCCGCCACCAGUCUGAGUUCCACCAGAUUCAUCUCCGCCACCAGUCCUAGUCCGAGUCUAGUAAUUGUUGCAUUGUUCUCGAUUUCCAGAUCACGCGAUACUCCGAGUCGUGACAGAGAAGGACUCCCCAACUUCCGAGCCAUCCGCAGAAGAAAAAUAGUUCCAAUUUCAAAAAAAAACUAAGUCUGGAAAAUUCUGGCUAGGCAGUUUUUAGACCAUUUGUAGACUUUUUCGAAAAAAUUUGUUGCGUAGCAAAAAAUAGGAGGAAAAAAAAGUGCAAAAAAAAGAGGAAAAAAAAUUCAGAGUGUGCUCCUCCCUUGUUUACGUGCCACGCCGUGAUUUUGUUGGUGUUCUAGGCUCGCGUCUCUAGCACAGUCUAGCCUAGGACCAGCACAGUACCGUUGUUGAGCGUUUAUUCAACUUUGCAUCUCUGAAUUGAUUAUUGCUGACCCUUUUUGCUACCAUAUUAAAAGCCUUCCCAGCUCCACAUACAUCUACGUCGUGCGUUUGACUCUCCCUGGUAAUCGCUCUAUCCAAGCUUUGAGAGUUUUGACUACAACGGUUGCCGAUCACCGCCUGCUGUUGGGUAAGAACUGGUAAGAAUUUGAGUUUUGCUUGACGGGUUUGUGACACCCACCACCACCACUUGUUCGUAGUUUGUAGGAUCAUAUUCUUGUGUGUUUCUAUUGCUGCUAACCAUGCCAGGAUCACAAGCCGACGAGAUUGACUGGGAAAAUUUAUCGAACAAGGAGCUUCAUGAUAAGUUUCAGCAAAUGAUGACUGAACAGGUGCAAGAUGUGCUGAACAAUUUUGAAGAGGCCAUGGAGAAGAUCACUGGCCUUGAGAAGACGUUCGAAACAAAGCUCGAUAACAAGUUUAAUGAAUUGCUCGCGCGUAUUCCACCACCACCACCCGCUGCACCUAACGCACCUCUCCAACAACAACAACAACGACUACGUCCACGUCGCAAAACAGACCUCCACCGAGCAAGCCGUGUUCCUCUUGCGUUUGGCCAAACUGUUGGUGCUGCUGUUGAUACUUCUGUGGCUCCUGCUGCUGAUGCAGAGGAGGAUGAUUAUGUGGGAGAUUAUGAGGAUGAGGUUGAUCAAAAUCAGCACUACGUGCAGCCACCUGUACCACCACCAGCAGGUCGACCUCAGGUAUAUAUUCGUAAUGGUAGGCCUGCACCACCACCUCAGGUACGAGAUGAUGUCCAUAUUCCUAACCUGAAAUUGAAUAUUCCACCAUUUGAGGGUAGAUAUGUUCCUGAUAUAUAUCUUACUUGGGAGUUAGAAACUGAACAACGAUUUACAUGUUUACAAUAUCCUGAGGAGAGAAGAGUUGCUGCUGCUGUUUGUGCUUUCACUAGUUUUGCAUGUGUAUGGUGGUCUGAACAUUGUAGAUUAUAUCCUAUUCCAACUACUUGGGCUGCUUUGAAAACUGCUGCGUACGCGUUGGGUUCCACCAUAUUAUCAACGUGAAUUGCUUCACAAAUUGCAGCGUUUAAGACAAGGGAAAAAUUCUGUAGAAGAAUAUUAUCAGGAAUUACAAACUGGCAUGAUUAGAUGUGGUAUUGUUGAGGAGAAUGAAGCUAUGCUUGCAUGUUUUCUGGGUGGAUCAAAUACAGAGAUUCAGACCAUUCUAGACUAUAAGGAGUAUACUAAUAUCACUCGUUUAUUCCAUCUUGCUUGUAAAGCUGAACGUGAAGUGCAGGAUCGACAAGCAUUGGGGCGAACUAACUUUUCUGCAGGCCGACCUUCAUCAUGGACACCACGUGCAUCUUCUACUUCAACUGCACCAGCACCUCAGUCACGUGCCUCCUUCAGCCGUGAUACAAGAAAACAGGCACAACCACCAUUAUCUGCCAAGAGCGCACCUGCGGGGCCUGCACAGCGUUCUUCUUCUUCCAUGGCAUCAACAGGGCACACAAGUGAUAUUAUUUGUCGUCGUUGUAAGGGAGGAGGUCAUUAUGCGAGAGAAUGCAAAUCUCCGCGUGUGAUGAUUGCUACCGCGGAUGGUGGAUAUGAGUAUGGAUUAUAUGAGUGGUUAGUCAUGCCUUUUGGGUUAACUAAUGCACCUAGUACUUUCAUGAGAUUAAUGAACGAAGUUCUACGUGCUUUCAUUGGACGAUUUGUGGUAGUUUACUUUGAUGACAUAUUGAUUUAUAGCAGAUCUUUGGAAGAACAUUUGGAACAUUUACGUGCUGUUUUUAUUGCUCUACGUGAUGCACGUUUGUUUGGCAACCUUGGGAAGUGCACCUUUUGCACCGACCGAGUAUCUUUUCUUGGCUAUGUUGUUACUCCACAGGGAAUUGAAGUUGAUAAAGCCAAGAUUGAAGCUAUUGAGAGUUGGCCGCAACCCAAAACGGUCACACAAGUGAGGAGUUUUCUUGGCCUCGCUGGAUUCUAUAGGCGUUUUGUGAGAGAUUUCAGCACCAUUGUUGCACCUCUCAAUGAGCUUACAAAGAAAGAUGUGCCUUUUCUUUGGGGUACCGCACAGGAAGAAGCCUUCUCGGUAUUGAAAGAUAAGUUGACACAUGCUCCUUUACUCCAACUUCCUGAUUUUAAUAAGACUUUUGAGCUUGAAUGUGAUGCUAGUGGAAUUGGAUUAGGCUGUGUGUAAUUACAAGAUGGCAAACAUGUUGCAUACUUUUCUGAAAAAUAAUGUUGUCCGAACAAGAGCAUAUGUGUCAACUUAUCAUAAGUAGAAUAAUUCAGACUAGGCCCACUCAAUUUUUCAGAAAAGUAUGCAACAGGUUUGCCAUCUUGUAAUANNNNNNNNNNNNNNNNNNNNNNNNNNNNNNNNNNNNNNNNNNNNNNNNNNNNNNNNNNNNNNNNNNNNNNNNNNNNNNNNNNNNNNNNNNNNNNNNNNNNNNNNNNNNNNNNNNNNNNNNNNNNNNNNNNNNNNNNNNNNNNNNNNNNNNNNNNNNNNNNNNNNNNNNNNNNNNNNNNNNNNNNNNNNNNNNNNNNNNNNNNNNNNNNNNNNNNNNNNNNNNNNNNNNNNNNNNNNNNNNNNNNNNNNNNNNNNNNNNNNNNNNNNNNNNNNNNNNNNNNNNNNNNNNNNNNNNNNNNNNNNNNNNNNNNNNNNNNNNNNNNNNNNNNNNNNNNNNNNNNNNNNNNNNNNNNNNNNNNNNNNNNNNNNNNNNNNNNNNNNNNNNNNNNNNNNNNNNNNNNNNNNNNNNNNNNNNNNNNNNNNNNNNNNNNNNNNNNNNNNNNNNNNNNNNNNNNNNNNNNNNNNNNNNNNNNNNNNNNNNNNNNNNNNNNNNNNNNNNNNNNNNNNNNNNNNNNNNNNNNNNNNNNNNNNNNNNNNNNNNNNNNNNNNNNNNNNNNNNNNNNNNNNNNNNNNNNNNNNNNNNNNNNNNNNNNNNNNNNNNNNNNNNNNNNNNNNNNNNNNNNNNNNNNNNNNNNNNNNNNNNNNNNNNNNNNNNNNNNNNNNNNNNNNNNNNNNNNNNNNNNNNNNNNNNNNNNNNNNNNNNNNNNNNNNNNNNNNNNNNNNNNNNNNNNNNNNNNNNNNNNNNNNNNNNNNNNNNNNNNNNNNNNNNNNNNNNNNNNNNNNNNNNNNNNNNNNNNNNNNNNNNNNNNNNNNNNNNNNNNNNNNNNNNNNNNNNNNNNNNNNNNNNNNNNNNNNNNNNNNNNNNNNNNNNNNNNNNNNNNNNNNNNNNNNNNNNNNNNNNNNNNNNNNNNNNNNNNNNNNNNNNNNNNNNNNNNNNNNNNNNNNNNNNNNNNNNNNNNNNNNNNNNNNNNNNNNNNNNNNNNNNNNNNNNNNNNNNNNNNNNNNNNNNNNNNNNNNNNNNNNNNNNNNNNNNNNNNNNNNNNNNNNNNNNNNNNNNNNNNNNNNNNNNNNNNNNNNNNNNNNNNNNNNNNNNNNNNNNNNNNNNNNNNNNNNNNNNNNNNNNNNNNNNNNNNNNNNNNNNNNNNNNNNNNNNNNNNNNNNNNNNNNNNNNNNNNNNNNNNNNNNNNNNNNNNNNNNNNNNNNNNNNNNNNNNNNNNNNNNNNNNNNNNNNNNNNNNNNNNNNNNNNNNNNNNNNNNNNNNNNNNNNNNNNNNNNNNNNNNNNNNNNNNNNNNNNNNNNNNNNNNNNNNNNNNNNNNNNNNNNNNNNNNNNNNNNNNNNNNNNNNNNNNNNNNNNNNNNNNNNNNNNNNNNNNNNNNNNNNNNNNNNNNNNNNNNNNNNNNNNNNNNNNNNNNNNNNNNNNNNNNNNNNNNNNNNNNNNNNNNNNNNNNNNNNNNNNNNNNNNNNNNNNNNNNNNNNNNNNNNNNNNNNNNNNNNNNNNNNNNNNNNNNNNNNNNNNNNNNNNNNNNNNNNNNNNNNNNNNNNNNNNNNNNNNNNNNNNNNNNNNNNNNNNNNNNNNNNNNNNNNNNNNNNNNNNNNNNNNNNNNNNNNNNNNNNNNNNNNNNNNNNNNNNNNNNNNNNNNNNNNNNNNNNNNNNNNNNNNNNNNNNNNNNNNNNNNNNNNNNNNNNNNNNNNNNNNNNNNNNNNNNNNNNNNNNNNNNNNNNNNNNNNNNNNNNNNNNNNNNNNNNNNNNNNNNNNNNNNNNNNNNNNNNNNNNNNNNNNNNNNNNNNNNNNNNNNNNNNNNNNNNNNNNNNNNNNNNNNNNNNNNNNNNNNNNNNNNNNNNNNNNNNNNNNNNNNNNNNNNNNNNNNNNNNNNNNNNNNNNNNNNNNNNNNNNNNNNNNNNNNNNNNNNNNNNNNNNNNNNNNNNNNNNNNNNNNNNNNNNNNNNNNNNNNNNNNNNNNNNNNNNNNNNNNNNNNNNNNNNNNNNNNNNNNNNNNNNNNNNNNNNNNNNNNNNNNNNNNNNNNNNNNNNNNNNNNNNNNNNNNNNNNNNNNNNNNNNNNNNNNNNNNNNNNNNNNNNNNNNNNNNNNNNNNNNNNNNNNNNNNNNNNNNNNNNNNNNNNNNNNNNNNNNNNNNNNNNNNNNNNNNNNNNNNNNNNNNNNNNNNNNNNNNNNNNNNNNNNNNNNNNNNNNNNNNNNNNNNNNNNNNNNNNNNNNNNNNNNNNNNNNNNNNNNNNNNNNNNNNNNNNNNNNNNNNNNNNNNNNNNNNNNNNNNNNNNNNNNNNNNNNNNNNNNNNNNNNNNNNNNNNNNNNNNNNNNNNNNNNNNNNNNNNNNNNNNNNNNNNNNNNNNNNNNNNNNNNNNNNNNNNNNNNNNNNNNNNNNNNNNNNNNNNNNNNNNNNNNNNNNNNNNNNNNNNNNNNNNNNNNNNNNNNNNNNNNNNNNNNNNNNNNNNNNNNNNNNNNNNNNNNNNNNNNNNNNNNNNNNNNNNNNNNNNNNNNNNNNNNNNNNNNNNNNNNNNNNNNNNNNNNNNNNNNNNNNNNNNNNNNNNNNNNNNNNNNNNNNNNNNUCCUUGUUCGAUAAAUUCUCCCAGUCAAUCUCGUCGGCUUGUGAUCCUGGCAUGGUUAGCAGCAAUAGAAACACACAAGAAUAUGAUCCUACAGACUACUAAGAAGUGGUGGUGGUGUAUCACAAAUCCGUCAAGCAAAUCUCAAAUUCUUACCAGUUCUUACCCAGCAGCAGGCGGUGAUCGGCAACCGUUGUAGUCAAAAACUCUCAAAGCUUGGAUAGAGCGAUUACCAGGGAGAGUCGAACACACGACGUAGAUGUAUGUGGAGCUGGGAAGGCUUAUAGUAUGGUAGCAAAAAGGGUCAGCAAUAAUCAAUUCAGAGAUGCAAAGUUGAAUAAACGCUCAACGACGGUACUGUGCUGGUCCUAGGCUAGACUGUGCUAGAGACGCGAGCCUAGAACACCAACAAAAUCACGGCGCGGCACGUAAACAAGGGAAAAGCACACUCUGAAAUUUUUCUUUUUUGCUCUUUUUUUUUGCGCUCCUUUUUUUUUGCGCUGCUUUUUUUUUGCGAAAAAUCACUAUAAUGGCGAGUGUCUCAAAACUCUUCCUAGCUCAAACGGACAGGAUGGGCACGAAAUUUUUUUUUCGACCAAUUUUUUUUUUCGACUGCCCGGACCCAAAAACUGGAAACGGGUCAAAAAAAACUUCCUAUAAUGGCACCUGUCUCAAAACACUCAGAAACACCUAAAAAUAGGAUAGCCAAAUUUUUUUUCGAAAAAUGCGUUUUCGAAAAAUUUUGGGCCUAAACGGAGCGUGGCUACCCGACUCUUUUCCGAAACCUACUCCGGCAAGGAAACACGAAUCGGAAUCUAGAUUGAUCCCGAAAACAAACCUAAUAAGCAAGGAACUCGGAUUGGUGGUGGAUAUAUGGUGGUGGUAUAUGGCAGCGGUGGUAGUAUUUGGAUAUGGAUCGGUGGUGGUAUAUGGACACGGAUUGGUGGUGGUAUAUGGAUACGGAUUCGGAGCGGUGGUGGUAGAUGGCAGGGGCGAUGAUGAUGGUGCGGCGACGGCGUGACAACUUGUGAACAGAACUCGAAACUCUAAAAGACUAGACGCUAAGACCAGCAACUGAACACGACGAUGCAACCGCAAAUUCAACAAAGCAAAUACAGAAAAGAUUAUGCAAGGCUCAGAUUGGUUCGGAUGGGAUGAACUAACCCUAAUUUUUUUGUUUGGCUUUUUCGUGGACUAUAGGUAUGAAGAACAGACUCGAUCUAAACUACGAAAAACUGUAAAAUCUCACCGAGCAACCUGGAAAUCUGAUACCACUUGAUAGAGGCGGAGGUGUCCCGUCUUUCGAUGAGAUGGUGGAUUUCGCUUUGGUGGAAGUCGACUUUGACGAUCCGACUACGAACGUGCGAGGACGUCGCGCCUUAGCAAUCGCUAAACCAACUCCGAGAGGUUAUUGACCACGCCGGAGCACGAUCAACCUGACCACGAGGGUCUGUUUCCUGCGAGCAAACGAAGAACAAGCAAGAAACUAAGAUUGCAAUCUGGAUAUUGCGAAUAUAAGAUGAAAGCUUUAUUGAUCAAGGUGGGGUUCUGUGACGCCUUUGUCUGGUCGUUGAACACAAACGAAAUACGCGAAGUUGCAGCUAUGGCGAACUUUUAAUCUAAACAAAACCUAAAGUCUAAACGAUGCCCUAAGGGCUGUAUAUAUGGAGGAAGAGGGGGGAAUUUCGUGGCCCUUGGUGGAGGGGUCCGAAAUCAACCCUAUCUCUUGUUUCCCCACACAUACGGACUCUAAAAAUAGCCUAUACUUAUGUAUUUCGAAAUUACAUGGGCCUGGCCCAAUAAUAAGGUGACGCAGCACCUAAAAUAGCCUCGGGACGAAAUUUAUGAAGUGGCAUCUUGUAUAUUUCGUCCAAGGCUUCAUGCACCCAUUAUGGUGGCUUCAAAGUCCUGAAAUCAUCACUUGUAACUCCGUUAUUGUUCCCCUUGCGCAUGCCAUCAUCUCCAUGCUUGUUCUUGCUCCAAUGUUCAUCCUUCUCCAAGCUAGGCCCUUCAUUUGUAAGCAAAACAAAUGUAUCCAAUUUAGGCAGCAUCAUAUUCUCAUGAACAUUAGAAUCAUUACCAAGAAACGAAAGUACCUGGUAAUUUAGUUGGCGUGCACGAGCUCUAGUAAUUGGUCCAGUAUGUAUAGCAGCAGGGGCUGUGGGUGUAACAAUUGUAUUGAUGUCCUCAUCAAGAAAGGAGUCACAAGUGAUGAUUUCAGGACUUUGAAGCCACCAUAAUGGGUGCAUGAAGCCUUGGACGAAAUAUACAAGAUGCCACUUCAUAAAUUUCGUCCCGAGGCUAUUAUAGGUGCUGCGUCACCUUUUUAUUGGGCCAGGCCCUUGUAAUUUCGAAAUGCAUAGGUAUAGUGAUAUAGGCAAAGGUGUCCCGUCUUUCGAUGAGAUGAUGGAUAUCGCUUUGGUGGCAGUCGACUUUGACGAUCCGACUACGAACGUGCGAGGACGUCGCGCCUUAGCAAUCGCUAAACCAACUCCGAGAGGUUAUUGACCACGCCGGAGCACGAUCAACCUGACCACGAGGGUCUGUUUCCUGCGAGCAAACGAAGAACAAGCAAGAAACUGAGAUUGCAAUCUGGAUAUUGCGAAUAUAAGAUGAAAGCUUUAAUGAUCAAGGUGGGGUUCUGUGACGCCUUUGUCUGGUCGUUGAACACAAACGAAGUACGCGAAGUUGCAGCUAUGGCGAACUUUUAAUCUAAACAAAACCCAAAGUCUAAACGAUGCCCUAAGGGCUGUAUAUAUGGAGGAAGAGGGGGGGAAUUUCGUGGCCCUUGGUGGAGGGGUCCGAAAUCAACCCUAUCUCUUGUUUCCCCACACAUACGGACUCUAAAAAUAGCCUAUACUUAUGUAUUUCGAAAUUACAUGGGCCUGGCCCAAUAAUAAGGUGACGCAGCACCUAAAAUAGCCUCGGAACGAAAUUUAUGAAGUGGUAUCUUGUAUAUUUCGUCCAAGGCUUCAUGCACCCAUUAUGGUGGCUUCAAAGUCCUGAAAUCAUCACUUGUAACUCCGUUCUUGUUCUUGCUCCAAUGUUCAUCCUUCUCCAAGCUAGGCCCUUCAUUUGUAAGCAAAACAAAUGUAUCCAAUUUAGGCGGCAUCAUAUUCUCAUGAACAUUAGAAUCAUUACCAAGAAACGAAAGUACCUGGUAGUUUAGUUGGCGUGCACGAGCUCUAGUAAUUGGUCCAGUAUGUAUAGCAGCAGGGGCUGUGGGUGUAACAAUUGUAUUGAUGUCCUCAUCAUCCUCCCCUUCUUGAAAUGAAGUCGUCCCCGACGGAAGUUCAUCUUCCUCACCCAAAUAAGGCUUCAAAUCUGCAAUGUUAAAAGUGGGACUAACCCCAAAAUCUGCAGGCAGCUCAAGUUUAUAUGCAUUAUCAUUUAUUUUCUCUAACACCUUAAAGGGACCAUCAGCACGUGGCAUUAACUUUGAUUUGCGCAAAUCAGGAAAUCUAUCCUUACGCAAAUGUAACCAAACAAGAUCUCCAGGUGCAAACACAACAUGUUUUCUACCCUUAUCUCCAGCAAGUUUAUAUUUAGCAUUCAUACGCUCAAUGUUUUCCUUAGUUAACUCAUGCAUUUUUAAAAUCAAUUCAGCACGUUGUUUAGCAUCAAAAUUAACCUUCUCCGAAGAUGGAAGAGGCAACAAAUCAAUAGGUGCACGAGGUAGGAAAUCAUACACAACUUCAAAAGGGCACAUCUUAGUAGUAGAAUGCAAUGAACGAUUAUAAGCAAAUUCAAUAUGAGGCAAGCAUUCCUCCCACAUUUUCUUAUUAUUCUUCAAAACAGCCCUAAGCAUAGUAGACAACGUUCUAUUGACUACUUCAGUUUGUCCAUCAGUUUGGGGGUGACAAGUAGUACUAAAAAGCAGUUUAGUCCCCAACUUAGCCCAUAAACAUCUCCAAAAGUGGCUAAGAAAUUUAGUAUCACGAUCUGAAACAAUAGUAUUUGGCACACCAUGCAAGCGAAUAAUUUCACGAAAGAACAAAUCAGCAACAUUAACAGCAUCAUCGCUUUUAUAACAUGGUAUAAAGUGUGCCAUUUUCGAGAAUCUAUCCACGACAACAAAAAUGCUAUCCCUCCCCUUCUUUGUUCGAGGUAAACCUAAAACAAAGUCCAUAGAUAUAUCCUCCCAAGGAACACUAGGUACAGGCAAAGGCAUAUAUAAACCAUGAGGAUUGAGUCGUGACUUAGCUUUUUGACAUGUAGUGCAGCGAGCAAUAAAACGCUCAACAUCCCGUCUCAUCUUUGGCCAAAAGAAAUGUGUAGCAAGUACGUCCUCCGUCUUCUUCACGCCAAAGUGUCCCAUUAAUCCUCCUCCAUGCGCCUCCUGCAACAACAAAAGACGAACGGAGCUAGCUGGAAUGCAUAGCUUGUUAGCACGAAACACAAAUCCAUCGUUAACGACAAACUUGUUCCACAUUCUUCCUUCUUUACAAUUCUGCAUUACAUCUUUAAAAUCAGCAUCAUGCACAUAUUGAUCUUUGAUGGUCUCCAAACCAAAUAUUUUGAAGUCAAGUUGUGAAAGCAUAGUAUAGCGACGAGACAAUGCAUUAGCAAUAACAUUUUCUUUUCCCUUCUUGUGUUUAAUGACAUAAGGGAAAGUCUUAAUGAAUUCAACCCAUUUAGCAUGUCUAGGAUUCAGUUUAGCUUGACUUUUAAUAUGUUUCAAAGAUUCAUGAUCAGAAUGUAUAACAAAUUCUUUGGGCCAUAAAUAAUGUUGCCAUGUUUCUAAAGUCCGAACAAGAGCAUAUAAUUCUUUAUCAUAAGUAGAAUAAUUCAGACUAGGCCCACUCAAUUUUUCAGAAAAGUAUGCAACAGGUUUGCCAUCUUGUAAUAACACACCUCCUAAUCCAAUUCCACUAGCAUCACAUUCAAGCUCAAAAGUCUUAUUAAAAUCAGGAAGUUGGAGUAAAGGAGCAUGUGUCAACUUAUCUUUCAAUACCGUGAAGGCUUCUUCCUGUGCGGUACCCCAAACAAAAGGCACAUCCUUCUUUGUAAGCUCGUUGAGAGGUGCAGCAAUGGUGCUGAAAUCUCUCACAAAACGCCUAUAGAAUCCAGCGAGGCCAAGAACACUCCUCACUUGUGUGACCGUUUUGGGCUGCGGCCAACUCUCAAUAGCUUCAAUCUUGGCUUUGUCAACUUCAAUUCCCUGUGGAGUAACAACAUAGCCAAGAAAAGAUACUCGGUCGGUGCAAAAGGUGCACUUCCCAAGGUUACCAAACAAACGUGCAUCACGUAGAGCAAUAAAAACAGCACGUAAAUGUUCCAAAUGUUCUUCCAAAGAUCUGCUAUAAAUCAGUAUGUCAUCAAAGUAAACUACCACAAAUCGUCCAAUGAAAGCACGUAAAACUUCGUUCAUUAAUCUCAUGAAAGUACUAGGUGCAUUAGUUAACCCAAAAGGCAUGACUAACCACUCAUAUAAUCCAAACUUAGUUUUAAAUGCUGUUUUCCAUUCAUCUCCGAAUUUCAUACGAAUUUGAUGGUAGCCACUACGCAAAUCAACUUUGGAGAAUAUUGUAGAGCCACUCAAUUCAUCAAGCAUAUCAUCUAGCCUAGGAAUAGGAUGACGAUAACGAAUAGUAAUAUUAUUAAUGCCUCUACAAUCAACACACAUACGUGAUGUACCAUCCUUUUUCGGCACUAGAAUAAUAGGAACAGCACAAGGACUAAGGGAUUCGCGUAUAUAACCUUUGUCGAGAAGCUCUUGUACUUGACGCAUAAUCUCCUUCGUCUCCUCUGGAUUGGUAUGGUAUGGUGCACGGUUUGGCAGUGAAGCACCGGGAAUUAAGUCAAUCUGAUGCUCAAUCCCUCGAAUAGGCGGUAAUCCCGGUGGCACGUCUUGUGGAAAAACGUCAGCGAACUCCUGCAAAAUGUUAGUGACAGCAGGAGGCAAAGAGUGAUAGAGGCAAAGGUGUCCCGUCUUUCGAUGAGAUGGUGGAUUUCGCUUUGGUGGAAGUCGACUUUGACGAUCCGACUACGAACGUGCGAGGACGUCGCGCCUUAGCAAUCGCUAAACCAACUCCGAGAGGUUAUUGACCACGCCGGAGCACGAUCAACCUGACCACGAGGGUCUGUUUCCUGCGAGCAAACGAAGAACAACCAAGAAACUAAGAUUGCAAUCUGGAUAUUGCGAAUAUAAGAUGAAAGCUUUAUUGAUCAAGGUGGGGUUCUGUGACGCCUUUGUCUGGUCGUUGAACACAAACGAAGUACGCGAAGUUGCAGCUAUGGCGAACUUUUAAUCUAAACAAAACCCAAAGUCUAAACGAUGCCCUAAGGGCUGUAUAUAUGGAGGAAGAGGGGGGAAUUUCGUGGCCCUUGGUGGAGGGGUCCGAAAUCAACCCUAUCUCUUGUUUCCCCACACAUACGGACUCUAAAAAUAGCCUAUACUUAUGUAUUUCGAAAUUACAUGGGCCUGGCCCAAUAAUAAGGUGACGCAACACCUAAAAUAGCCUCAGGACGAAAUUUAUGAAGUGGCAUCUUGUAUAUUUCGUCCAAGGGUUCAUGCACCCAUUAUGGUGGCUUCAAAGUCCUGAAAUCAUCACUUGUAACUCCGUUCUUGUUCCCCUUGCGCAUGCCAUCAUCUCCAUGCUUGUUCUUGCUCCAAUGUUCAUCCUUCUCCAAGCUAGGCCCUUCAUUUGUAAGCAAAACAAAUGUAUCCAAUUUAGGCAGCAUCAUAUUCUCAUGAACAUUAGAAUCAUUACCAAGAAACGAAAGUACCUGGUAAUUUAGUUGGCGUGCACGAGCUCUAGUAAUUGGUCCAGUAUGUAUAGCAGCAGGGGCUGUGGGUGUAACAAUUGUAUUGAUGUCCUCAUCAUCCUCCCCUUCUUGAAAUGAAGUCGUCCUCGAUGGAAGUUCAUCUUCCUCACCCAAAUAAGGCUUCAAAUCUGCAAUGUUAAAAGUGGGACUAACCCCAAAAUCUGCAGGCAACUCAAGUUUAUAUGCAUUAUAAUUUAUUUUCUCUAACACCUUAAAGGGACCAUCAGCACGUGGCAUUAACUUUGAUUUGCGCAAAUCAGGAAAUCUAUCCUUACGCAAAUGUAACCAAACAAGAUCUCCAGGUGCAAACACAACAUGUUUUCUACCCUUAUCUCCAGCAAGUUUAUAUUUAGCAUUCAUACGCUCAAUGUUUUCCUUAGUUAACUCAUGCAUUUUUAAAAUCAAUUCAGCACAUUGUUUAGCAUCAAAAUUAACCUUCUCCGAAGAUGGAAGAGGCAACAAAUCAAUAGGUGCACGAGGUAGGAAACCAUACACAACUUCAAAAGGGCACAUCUUAGUAGUAGAAUGCAAUGAACGAUUAUAAGCAAAUUCAAUAUGAGGCAAGCAUUCCUCCCACAUUUUCUUAUUAUUCUUCAAAACAGCCCUAAGCAUAGUAGACAACGUUCUAUUGACUACUUCAGUUUGUCCAUCAGUUUGGGGGUGACAAGUAGUACUAAAAAGCAGUUUAGUCCCCAACUUAGCCCAUAAACAUCUCCAAAAGUGGCUAAGAAAUUUAGUAUCACGAUCUGAAACAAUAGUAUUUGGCACACCAUGCAAGCGAAUAAUUUCACGAAAGAACAAAUCAGCAACAUUAACAGCAUCAUCACUUUUAUGACAUGCUAUAAAGUGUGCCAUUUUCGAGAAUCUAUCCACGACAACAAAUAUGCUAUCCCUCCCCUUCUUUUUUCGAGGUAAACCUAAAACAAAGUCCAUAGAUAUAUCCUCCCAAGGAACACUAGGUACAGGCAAAGGCAUAUAUAAACCAUGAGGAUUGAGUCGUGACUUAGCUUUUUGACAUGUAGUGCAGCGAGCAAUAAAACGCUCAACAUCCCGUCUCAUCUUUGGCCAAAAGAAAUGUGUAGCAAGUACGUCCUCCGUCUUCUUCACACCAAAGUGUCCCAUUAAUCCUCCUCCAUGCGCCUCCUGCAACAACAAAAGACGAACGGAGCUAGCUGGAAUGCAUAGCUUGUUAGCACGAAACACAAAUCCAUCGUUAACAACAAACUUGUUCCACAUUCUUCCUUCUUUACAAUUCUGCAUUACAUCUUUAAAAUCAGCAUUAUGCACAUAUUGAUCUUUGAUAGUCUCCAAACCAAAUAUUUUGAAGUCAAGUUGUGAAAGCAUAGUAUAGCGACGAGACAAUGCAUCAGCAAUAACAUUUUCUUUUCCCUUCUUGUGUUUAAUGACAUAAGGGAAAGUCUCAAUGAAUUCAACCCAUUUAGCAUGUCUACGAUUCAGUUUAGCUUGACUUUUAAUAUGUUUCAAAGAUUCAUGAUCAGAAUGUAUAACAAAUUCUUUGGGCCAUAAAUAAUGUUGCCAUGUUUCUAAAGUCCGAACAAGAGCAUAUAAUUCUUUAUCAUAAGUAGAAUAAUUCAGACUAGGCCCACUCAAUUUUUCAGAAAAGUAUGCAACAGGUUUGCCAUCUUGUAAUAACACACCUCCUAAUCCAAUUCCACUAGCAUCACAUUCAAGCUCAAAAGUCUUAUUAAAAUCAGGAAGUUGGAGUAAAGGAGCAUGUGUCAACUUAUCUUUCAAUACCGUGAAGGCUUCUUCCUGUGCGGUACCCCAAACAAAAGGCACAUCCUUCUUUGUAAGCUCGUUGAGAGGUGCAGCAAUGGUGCUGAAAUCUCUCACAAAACGCCUAUAGAAUCCAGCGAGGCCAAGAAAACUCCUCACUUGUGUGACCGUUUUGGGCUUGCUCUUGCUCCAAUGUUCAUCCUUCUCCAAGCUAGGCCCUUCAUUUGUAAGCAAAACAAAUGUAUCCAAUUUAGGCAGCAUCAUAUUCUCAUAAACAUUAGAAUCAUUACCAAGAAACGAAAGUACCUGGUAAUUUAGUUGGCAUGCGCGAGCUCUAGUAAUUGGUCCAGUAUGUAUAGCAGCAGGGGCUAUGGGUGUAAUAAUGGUAUUGAUGUCCUCAUCAGUCUCCAUGCGCGGUCGCGUAGCUUGACUCGGAGUAUGAGUCCAGUAUGGGCGCCGUCUUCAUGUUGUUGAAGUGGUUCGCGCGCGUCGCCAUGGUCGAAGGGGAUGGCCCUUGCUCAACCGUGUUGUCACCGUCUUGGUGUGGGAGUUCCAUAUGAUGUGGCACCUCAUAGCUCGUCUCCAUGACCGAAGGGAGUUUCCCAUGCCCGGCCAUCUUCUUUGAGGGGCUUCCGAAGAUGGAAGUGUCACCCUCGCUCGUAGGUGGUCGCCUUGGACUUGAUGAAGUCAAUGUAGGCGUACUCGUGGGAAGUAGGCGAAGAUGCCGUACGUCCAAAGGCGAAGAUGCCUUGAGAACACUUGGCGAAGAUGCCGAAGUGGUUGAUGUAGCCGUAGCGCCGUCUUGGUGGUGGUCAUCUCGCGGUCUUCUUUUGUGCUCUUGAAGCUUGGACUUGGCGUGAAGUAGGGCUUGUUGGGACUUGUGCAUUUGCGCUUGUAGAGCAUCUUCAUGAUGAUGAUGUCGUUGUCGUGCUUGAGCUCGUAGUAGAUGUCGUUCGUCGUCGUCGUGCACAUGAUGCUUGGAGGUGACUUGCCCUUCAUGUCGAUGUUGAUCACGAACGUGAUGGUGGUCGCCAUGUAGAUGUGGACGAGGACGAUUUGCACUUGCGUCUUUUUCGCGCUCCGAAGACUUGUGGCUUGAACGUCGUCGUCUUGAGGAUGAUGAAGUGGAGGAAGACUUGAUCAAGGUCCGAAUCUCUUCCAUCCUCGCAUCUUGCUCCUCUUUAUGUGCGGCAAGCUUGUUGUCGAUGUAGUCCCUUCUACUUUCUUCAGAGUGACGAAUGUUGAUGGAGAUGUUCUCGAUGCGCUCUCGCAAUCUUGAUUGUGCGCCUUGCACUUGUCGUUGUAGAUCGAAGAUAGACGCUUUGGUGAUGUAGUUGUUCACGCCGUCGUUGUUGUCGAGGACCGGAGAGGAAAUGCCUUGCCUAUCCAUCACAAGACUCGAGCAAAUAUGAGUGUGAGAAAGAGAAGAACUUAUACCAAUGUACCUUGACCGAUGUUGACAAUGAAUCAAGUUCACUCAAAUGCGGACAAUGAAAUAGCACUAUUGGUACCAAUCCUUGUCGGUUCUCACACCUACACAAGUAAAGCUUAUAGUAGAGCUCGGUGAGGAUAGUGGCACAAAAAUUUAAUGCAAAAUGUUAGCAAGAGUCAAUAAUGUUGAAAGAGAUUCACAAAUUCGCAAGCAAGUAGACCAAUAGCAAUAUGUGGCACACGGAAACACAUACACGGAUAGAUAAAUGGGGUCGUGCAACCAAGGAGUGAGCACAAAAUGUGGAAUCCACGGAAAACGCUCGUGUUGCACAACUCAAGAGAGACGCUUGCAUGAUUGCUCAAUAGGCGGAUACGACACUUGUGCACAACCUAUAAGAUGCAAAAUGGAUAAACUUCUAUCCCAAGUAUGCUAUUAUGUAUGGUUCCCGGUGUUUCUCUCAAGAUGAUCCAAGAUGAUCGGAUAUGACAAUCUUAUAUGCAAUGUGGUAUGAUGCUAUGGCACUUGCUUACAAGCUUCUUUGCUCUUUCUCUUUUUCUUAAAAGCUUUAUUUCUUUUUUUUUCUAUGGCCACUUUGCACAAUGCACAAACCAAGAUAGCAAUUGUGUAUAUGUGGGAACAAACUUGUGACACAAGAUAUGAUAGCAAGAUAUGCACCACGAUGAUAUGGUAUGUAUGCUAUGGGAAGUAUAGAUCACUAAUGUGCACAAGUAACGUUGCCGGCAAUACUCAAAUGGCUAGUCUCGAUAGGCAAGUAACGCAAAAGUAAGGCUAGGGGUUAACAAUGCAAUGGCAAGGGGAAUAUACAAUGGAGGGAUACCACGAUACCAAGAUGAUAUGGAGGUUACCGUCCGGUGAUGAUGAGUAGUGGUGUUCUUGAUGUAGAAACCAAGAUGAUGGAGACUCGUCCCUAAGUAGCCGAAACACCUUAGGAAACGAAAAAACCACGAAGUCAAAAUCUCACACGUCAAAUCUCAAAAUGGUGGUAGCGGAGAGCGGUGGUGGUGUGCACUAGGCAAUGCGGAGGUGGGAUGACGGGCUAUACAUGUGUCAAAUUUGAAGUUGCCAUCCCUAAGUAGCCGAAACACCUUAGGAGACACAAGCCACAACUCGAACAAGCUCAAACAACAAUUGGGUUAAGUUGGGUUAUCGGAAGUGUAUGGUGGGAAGGUUAUGUGGAAGUGGUGGUAGUGGUGGUUGAUGAAGAAGUAAUCGUCCCUAAGUAGCCGAACCACCUUAGGAGACUCUAAUCACGACUCAUACAACCACAUAUGCAAUGGGGAACAAAAUGGGUUAGGUUGCGGAAGUUGGUGCUGGCUAUGCGGAUGAUAUGGUGGAAGGCCUAGGCAAACUUGCCAAAUUUUCAAAAAUUUGAUGGAGUCAAAUGGUGUUGGUCAUAUUUUUGUGGGAUGGGGGAUGUCAAUAGCUUCAAAACGAGCUAACGAACGUCAAAAUCGGACUCCGGAUGAAUUAGUUAUGACCUGAUAGAGGCGAGGGUCCCGAUCUUUCGAUGAGAUGAUAACUAUCGAUUUGGUGGAGACGACUUUGACAAUCCGACUACAAACGUGCACGACGUUGCGCCUUAGCAAUCGCUAAACCAAUCUCCUGAGGUUACUGACGAUGCUGGAAGCAAGGUCAGCCUGACCACGAAGGUCUAUUCCUGCAAGCAAUCGAAGAACGAGCAAGAAUAUGAUAAAGCAAUCUGAAUAUUGCAAAUAUAUAUGAAGUAUUGAUAAUGGUGGGGAUCCGAAAAGUGGUCUUGGUCUGGUCGUUGGACACAGACGAAGUACACGAAGUUGCAAUGGCUAACUUUUAACUAAACAAAUCCCAAGGAAAAGCUACUAGAUGGAUCUACUUAUAUAGGAGCAAGGGGUGGCGGCCAAGGAGGUGGGAGGACGUCCCAAGGCAGCCUAAAACUAAAUCUAGGUCGUACAAGGCCAAUGGGCCCAAGUGGAGGUGAUGUAACACCUUUGGACUUGUAGUUUGACUCGGAUUCUGCUGUAGCAUCAGAUUGUUUCGUCCACAACUCAACGCUCCGGACGAAUUUGAAGGUGAUUCCAAUUGGGUUGGAAAGUGCACGAAAUCUAGUUUCCAACAAAAAAAGAAUCACCCAAUUCGGAGUCCGCAUGAAAAACUUGUGUGCGUUUUGAGUCAGGUAUGUCUGUGCAGUCCGAAUCUGAAUCCAGAACGUGAGAGACUUGGACUCUAUCUUCUCUUGGGCCAAAAGUGACGUGAGAGAACUUUUUGGACAGCAAAUAAACAUCUCUUUCUUCCUUAUCUUCAUAUGUGGAUUGUACAAAUGUCCCAUACACCUGCAAUUAGACAAAACACAAAAGUGUGUGAAGUAUUUUUGUUCUGGAUAACAUAAAUAGAUUAUUGAAUAGUUUGCAAUAGAAAUCACCUGACAAAUAUGCAUAUAUGCAAUAUUUUUGGUCAUAUCCAAGGUAGUCAUGUCCUCAUCACCUCCCACAUUUUCUUAUUAUUCUUCAAAACAGCCCUAAGCAUAGUAGACAACGUCCUAUUGACUACUUCAGUUUGUCCAUCAGUUUGGGGGUGACAAGUAGUACUAAAAAGCAGUUUAGUCCCCAACUUAGCCCAUAAACAUCUCCAAAAGUGGCUAAGAAAUUUAGUAUCACGAUCUGAAACAAUAGUAUUUGGCACACCAUGCAAGCGAAUAAUUUCACGAAAGAACAAAUCAGCAACAUUAACAGCAUCAUCGCUUUUAUGACAUGGUAUAAAGUGUGCCAUUUUCGAGAAUCUAUCCACGACAACAAAUAUGCUAUCCCUCCCCUUCUUUGUUCGAGGUAAACCUAAAACAAAGUCCAUAGAUAUAUCCUCCCAAGGAACACUAGGUACAGGCAAAGGCAUAUAUAAACCAUGAGGAUUGAGGCGUGACUUAGCUUUUUGACAUGUAGUGCAGCGAGCAAUAAAACGCUCAACAUCCCGUCUCAUCUUUGGCCAAAAGAAAUGUGUAGCAAGUACGUCCUCCGUCUUCUUCACACCAAAGUGUCCCAUUAAUCCUCCUCCAUGCGCCUCCUGCAACAACAAAAGACGAACAGAGCUAGCUGGAAUGCAUAGCUUGUUAGCACGAAACACAAAUCCAUCGUUAACAACAAACUUGUUCCACAUUCUUCCUUCUUUACAAUUCUGCAUUACAUCUUUAAAAUCAGCAUCAUGCACAUAUUGAUCUUUGAUGGUCUCCAAACCAAAUAUUUUGAAGUCAAGUUGUGAAAGCAUAGUAUAGCGACGAGACAAUGCAUCAGCAAUAACAUUUUCUUUUCCCUUCUUGUGUUUAAUGACAUAAGGGAAAGUCUCAAUGAAUUCAACCCAUUUAGCAUGUCUACGAUUCAGUUUAGCUUGACUUUUAAUAUGUUUCAAAGAUUCAUGAUCAGAAUGUAUAACAAAUUCUUUGGGCCAUAAAUAAUGUUGCCAUGUUUCUAAAGUCCGAACAAGAGCAUAUAAUUCUUUAACAUAAGUAGAAUAAUUCAGACUAGGCCCACUCAAUUUUUCAGAAAAGUAUGCAACAGGUUUGCCAUCUUGUAAUAACACACCUCCUAAUCCAAUUCCACUAGCAUCACAUUCAAGCUCAAAAGUCUUAUUAAAAUCAGGAAGUUGGAGUAAAGGAGCAUGUGUCAACUUAUCUUUCAAUACCGUGAAGGCUUCUUCCUGUGCGGUACCCCAAACAAAAGGCACAUCCUUCUUUGUAAGCUCGUUGAGAGGUGCAGCAAUGGUGCUGAAAUCUCUCACAAAACGCCUAUAGAAUCCAGCGAGGCCAAGAAAACUCCUCACUUGUGUGACCGUUUUGGGCUGCGGCCAACUGUCAAUAGCUUCAAUCUUGGCUUUGUCAACUUCAAUUCCCUGUGGAGUAACAACAUAGCCAAGAAAAGAUACUCGGUCGGUGCAAAAGGUGCACUUCCCAAGGUUACCAAACAAACGUGCAUCACGUAGAGCAAUAAAACAGCACGUAAAUGUUCCAAAUGUUCUUCCAAAGAUCUGCUAUAAAUCAGUAUGUCAUCAAAGUAAACUACCACAAAUCGUCCAAUGAAAGCACGUAAAACUUCGUUCAUUAAUCUCAUGAAAGUACUAGGUGCAUUAGUUAACCCAAAAGGCAUGACUAACCACUCAUAUAAUCCAAACUUAGUUUUAAAUGCUGUUUUCCAUUCAUCUCCCAAUUUCAUACGAAUUUGAUGGUAGCCACUAUGCAAAUCAACUUUGGAGAAUAUUGUAGAGCCACUCAAUUCAUCAAGCAUAUCAUCUAGCCUAGGAAUAGGAUGACGAUAACGAAUAGUAAUAUUAUUAAUGCCUCUACAAUCAACACACAUACGUGAUGUACCAUCCUUUUUCGGCACUAGAAUAAUAGGAACAGCACAAGGACUAAGGGAUUCGCGUAUAUAACCUUUGUCGAGAAGCUCUUGUACUUGACGCAUAAUCUCCUUCGUCUCCUCUGGAUUGGUACGGUACGGUGCACGGUUUGGCAGUGAAGCACCGGGAAUUAAGUCAAUCUGAUGCUCAAUCCCUCGAAUAGGCGGUAAUCCCGGUGGCACGUCUUGUGGAAAAACGUCAGCGAACUCCUGCAAAAUGUUAGUGACAGCAGGAGGCAAAGAGGAAGGCACGUCCUCGAAUGAAAAUAAUGCCUCUUUGCACACAAAUGCAUAGCAAACAGAUUUGCUGAAAUCUAGCUCAUCAAUAUCAGAUUUGGUGGCAAAUAAACAUGCACUUUUCAAUUUAAUUUCAGAAGCAACACUAGAUGGUUUAUUAUUAGGCUUCAUUUGUUGCUCAAAUUCUUUUGCCACAAUCUGAUUUUCACUCUUAUUCUUCUCCUGUUGUGCUUUAUUAGCUCUAUUAAUAUCAUCUUUCAAAAUGGAAUCAGGAGUCAUAGGAAGCAAAGUAAUAUUUUUAUCCUUAUGAACAAGAGUGUAGUGAUUGUUUCUACCAUGGUGUACAGAAUUUUUAUCAAAUUGCCAUGGUCUACCAAGUAAUAAGGAACAUGCUUGCAUAGGUACCACAUCACAAUCAACAUAAUCAGCAUAGGUAGAGAUACUAAAAUGCACACGAACAGUACGUGUUACCUUAACCUUGCCGCUGUUGUUGAACCAUUGGAUGUAGUAAGGAUGUGGAUGUGGUCUUGUGGUGAGAGAAAGCUUCUCCACCAUCUCCAUGCUAGCCAAGUUGUUGCAGCUCCCUCCGUCUAUGAUGACGCGCACAGAACGUUCCUUCACAACUCCCUUGGUAUGGAACAAAUUGUUCCUCUGAUUUUGCUCAGCUUGUGUGACCUGCACACUCAAAACACGUUGAGCAACUAAACAUUCAUACCUGUCAGCGUCUUCAGGAGACAUGUAUUGCGUCUCAUGAUCAGAAUCAUCUCCACCAUGUUCUUCACGUGUAAUAAGAGCCAAAGUCUCCUCAUCAUAGUCACUAGCGGACUCAUAUCCACCAUCCGCGGUAGCAAUCAUCACACGCGGAGAUUUGCAUUCUCUCGCAUAAUGACCUCCUCCCUUACAACGACGACAAAUAAUAUCACUUGUGUGCCCUGUUGAUGCCAUGGAAGAAGAAGAACGCUGUGCAGGCCCCGCAGGUGCGCUCUUGGCAGAUAAUGGUGGUUGUGCCUGUUUUCUUGUAUCACGGCUGGAGGUGGCACCGGAUGGAGGUGCUGGUGCAGUUGAAGUAGAAGAUGCACGUGGUGUCCAUGAUGAAGGUCGGCCUGCAGAAAAGUUAGUUCGCCCCAAUGCUUGUCGAUCCUGCACUUCACGUUCAGCUUUACAAGCAAGAUGGAAUAAACGAGUGAUAUUAGUAUACUCCUUAUAGUCUAAAAUGGUCUGAAUCUCUCUAUUUAAUCCACCCAGAAAAUGUGCAAGCAUAGCUUCAUUCUCCUCAACAAUACCACAUCUAAUCAUGCCAGUUUGUAAUUCCUGAUAAUAUUCUUCUACAGAAUUUUUCCCUUGUCUUAAACGCUGCAAUUUUUGAAGCAAUUUGAUGAGGACAUCAAUACAAUUGUUACACCCACAGCCCCUGCUGCUAUACAUACUGGACCAAUUACUAGAGCUCGUGCACGCCAACUAAAUUACCAGGUACUUUCGUUUCUUGGUAAUGAUUCUAAUAUUCAUGAGAAUAUGAUGCUGCCUAAAUUGGAUACAUUUGUUUUGCUUACAAAUGAAGGGCCUAGCUUGGAGAAGGAUGAACAUUGGAGCAAGAACAAGCAUGGAGAUGAUGGCAUGCGCAAGGGGAACAAGAACGGAGUUACAAGUGAUGAUUUCAGGACUUUGAAGCCACCAUAAUGGGUGCAUGAAGCCUUGGACGAAAUAUACAAGAUGCCACUUCAUAAAUUUCGUCCCGAGGCUAUUUUAGGUGCUGCGUCACCUUAUUAUUGGGCCAGGCCCAUGUAAUUUCGAAAUACAUAAGUAUAGGCUAUUUUUAGAGUCCGUAUGUGUGGGGGAAACAAGAGAUAGGGUUGAUUUCGGAUCCCUCCACCAAGGGCCACGAAAUUCCCCCCCUCUUCCUCCAUAUAUACAGCCCUUAGGGCAUCGUUUAGACUUUGGGUUUUGUUUAGAUUAAAAGUUCGCCAUAGCUGCAACUUCGCGUACUUCGUUUGUGUUCAACGACCAGACAAAGGCGUCACAGAACCCCACCUUGAUCAAUAAAGCUUUCAUCUUAUAUUCGCAAUAUCCAGAUUGCAAUCUUAGUUUCUUGCUUGUUCUUCGUUUGCUCGCAGGAAACAGACCCUCGUGGUCAGGUUGAUCGUGCUCCGGCGUGGUCAAUAACCUCUCGGAGUUGGUUUAGCGAUUGCUAAGGCGCGACGUCCUCGCACGUUCGUAGUCGGAUCGUCAAAGUCGACUUCCACCAAAGCGAUAUCCAUCAUCUCAUCGAAAGAUCGGGACCCUCGCCUCUAUCAGUAGUUUGUAAAUCAUCAUAAUAUUUUGUUACAGUUUCACUACCUUGUUUUAAGUGUUGCAACUUCUUAAUCAUGUCACGAGUAUAAUAAGCAGGGACGAAAGUAUGUCGCAUGGCAAGUUUCAAAUCAUCCCAAGUAGUAGGUAUAUAAUCAGGGUGUAACCGACAAUAUUCACUCCACCAAACCAAAGCAUAACCAGUGAAAGAACCAACCGCAACCUUAACCUUUUUAUGUUCAUUGAAAUUAUGGGAAGCAAAUAUAUUUUUUAUGUCGAACUCCCAUUCAAUAUAUAAAGCAGGUUUAAAACGGCCAUUAAAUGGUGGUAUAGAUACAUUAACCUGAUCAUGUGCAUUUGGAUGUUUGUGCACCUCUCGUGACGGUUGUGGUAUUUGCAAAGGUGGUGGCACGUCUCCCGCGAUCGACAAAGCCCAUGAAUUGACUCUGGAUCCUGUCAUGAUCAGUAGAACAAGAAACAAAACCCAAAAAUAAUGUUCCUAUAACUACUAGGAUGUGGUGGUAAAACGCUCACAGUAAAGCAAAUAUCAAUGUCUUACAAGUUCUUACCAUGCAGCAGGCGGUGAUCGGCAACCAGCGGUGUCAAGUAACUCCGAAUAUUGAGUAAAGCGAUUGCCAGGGGAGCGUAUGUAUACACGGUGUAGAAAUAUGUGGAGCUGGGUUGGCUAUAUAUGGUAGCAAAAGAUUAGCAAUAAUCAAUUCAAAGAUGCAAUGUUGAAUAAACGCUCAACGACGGUACUGUGUUGGUCCUAGGCUAGACCGGACUAGAGACGCGAGCCUAGAACACUAAUGAGGUCACGGCGUAGCACAACUAGCAUCAAUGAAGGAUACUAAGUAGCUCUUGACAACAAGAUAUAAGUGAAGAUCACAACGGCAGUGAAGAUAAUGAUGAAAAACAACUGCCAAGCAGGAUAUACAACAACUCUCUCUCCAACUUUCCUCUUGAAAAGUUUGAGACAAUUUUCUGAUAAAUUCUUUCAAAGAAUGCUACUAACUCAAGCUUUCCAAUGCAAAAAGAAUCACUCAAUUCCGAGUUGAUAUGAUGAGUCAAAGAAUUCUAAAACUGGCCUGAAAAAUUGGAACAAGCUGUGUUCACGAACUUCGGAGGGCAAAAAGACCUAUUUAGAAGCCGAUUUUGAGGUGUUAAAUAUUGAACUAGCUUCUGCAACUAUUUAGAUGCGGCUCGUCGCUAUCUUCAAUUUGAGUACUCACGGAGCCAAAACGGAAUUCGUAUGAGGAAGAUACACCUAUUUUACUGAACAGUGCGCAAAACAGAUUCCAAUCCGAAUUCAGGUACGAGAUUGAUUCUAGAUAGAUCCAAUUUUUUUCUUCUCUCUUUUUUUUCUCACGCUUUUUUUUUCUUCUCUCUCUUUUUCUUUUCUUUUUUUCUCUUUUUUUCUCUAUCUUUUUUUUCUCCCUCUUUCCAAGACAAACUAGAUAAGAUGCAGAUUGGAUCAGGCGAAGAUGUGAAUGACCUCAACUAUGAUUAUGACAAUGAACAGUGCAUAGCACGUGGUGGAAAUUGAUGUAUGGGUGGUGGACAGCGGAAGGGAUAACGAUGCAGCGGCGACGUGACUAAUGUGAACAGAACUCGAAACUCUAAACGACCUAGACACUAAGACCAGCAACUCGACACGACGAUGCAACCGAUAAUUCAACUAUGCAAGCAAUGAAAAGAAAAUUGCAAAGGCUCAUACUGGCUUGGACAAAGGAUGAAUAGAUCGAACUCUUUUUUGUGGAUUUUUCUUGGACAAUAGGUAAGAAAAUAAAUCUAAUCUAGGAAAAACUGGAAAUUCUCACCGAGCAACCUGAAAACUGAUACCACUUGAUAGAGGCGAGGGUCCCGAUCUUUCGAUGAGAUGAUAACUAUCGAUUUGGUGGAGACGACUUUGACAAUCCGACUACAAACGUGCACGACGUUGCGCCUUAGCAAUCGCUAAACCAAUCUCCUGAGGUUACUGACGAUGCUGGAAGCAAGGUCAGCCUAACCACGAAGGUCUAUUCCUGCAAGCAAUCGAAGAACGAGCAAGAAUAUGAUAAAGCAAUCUGAAUAUUGCAAAUAUAUAUGAAGUAUUGAUAAUGGUGGGGAUCCGAAAAGUGGUCUUGGUCUGGUCGUUGGACACAGACGAAGUACACGAAGUUGCAAUGGCUAACUUUUAACUAAACAAAUCCCAAGGAAAAGCUACUAGAUGGAUCUACUUAUAUAGGAGCAAGGGGUGGCGGCCAAGGAGGUGGGAGGACGUCCCAAGGCAGCCUAAAACUAAAUCUAGGUCGUACAAGGCCAAUGGGCCCAAGUGGAGGUGAUGUAACACCUUUGGACUUGUAGUUUGACUCGGAUUCUGCUGCAGCAUCAGAUUGUUUCGUCCACAACUCAAUGUUCCGGACGAAUUUGAAGGUGAUUCCAAUUGGGUUGGAAAGUGCACGAAAUCUAGUUUCCAACAAAAAACGAAUCACCCAAUUCGGAGUCCGUAUGAAAAACUUGUGUGCGUUUUGAGUCAGGUAUGUCUGUGCAGUCCGAAUCUGAAUCCAGAACGUGAGAGACUUGGACUCUAUCUUCUCUUGGGCCAAAAGUGACGUGAGAGAACUUUUUGGACAGCAAAUAAACAUCUCUUUCUUCCUUAUCUUCAUAUGUGGAUUGUACAAAUGUCCCAUACACCUGCAAUUAGACAAAACACAAAAGUGUGUGAAGUAUUUUUGUUCUGGAUAACAUAAAUAGAUUAUUGAAUAGUUUGCACUAGAAAUCACCUGACAAAUAUGCAUAUAUGCAAUAUUUUUGGUCAUAUCCAAGGUAGUCAUGUCCUCAUCAUGACCAAAACAAAAUUUCAGCCGUGUCAGUUUCAGGGUUAACCGGACAUCCGGGAGGAGGUCCGGAUGAUCCGGGCUAGGUCCGGAUGAUCCGGGUGUACAUCCGGAUGAUCCGGGUUCGUCAGCUCCGGUUCUGUUUGCUGGGUGCGUGGGUUAUUGAUAGAGGCAAAGGUGUCCCGUCUUUCGAUGAGAUGAUGGAUAUCGCUUUGGUGGAAGUCGACUUUGACGAUCCGACUACGAACGUGCGAGGACGUCGCGCCUUAGCAAUCGCUAAACCAACUCCGAGAGGUUAUUGACCACGCCGGAGCACGAUCAACCUGACCACGAGGGUCUGUUUCCUACGAGCAAACGAAGAACAAGCAAGAAACUAAGAUUGCAAUCUGGAUAUUGCGAAUAUAAGAUGAAAGCUUUAUUGAUCAAGGUGGGGUUCUGUGACGCCUUUGUCUGGUCGUUGAACACAGACGAAGUACGCGAAGUUGCAGCUAUGGCGAACUUUUAAUCUAAACAAAACCCAAAGUCUAAACGAUGCCCUAAGGGCUGUAUAUAUGGAGGAAGAGGAGGGGAAUUUCGUGGCCCUUGGUGGAGGGGUCCGAAAUCAACCCUAUCUCUUGUUUCCCCACACAUACGGACUCUAAAAAUAGCCUAUACUUAUGUAUUUCGAAAUUACAUGGGCCUGGCCCAAUAAUAAGGUGACGCAGCACCUAAAAUAGCCUCGGGACGAAAUUUAUGAAGUGGCAUCUUGUAUAUUUCGUCCAAGGCUUCAUGCACCCAUUAUGGUGGCUUCAAAGUCCUGAAAUCAUCACUUGUAACUCCGUUCUUGUUUCCCUUGCGCAUGCCAUCAUCUCCAUGCUUGUUCUUGCUCCAAUGUUCAUCCUUCUCCAAGCUAGGCCCUUCAUUUGUAAGCAAAACAAAUGUAUCCAAUUUAGGCAGCAUCAUAUUCUCAUGAACAUUAGAAUCAUUACCAAGAAACGAAAGUACCUGGUAAUUUAGUUGGCGUGCACGAGCUCUAGUAAUUGGUCCAGUAUGCAUAGCAGCUGGGGCUGUGGGUGUAACAAUUGUAUUGAUGUCCUCAUCAUCCUCCCCUUCUUGAAAUGAAGUCGUCCUCGACGGAAGUUCAUCUUCCUCACCCAAAUAAGGCUUCAAAUCUGCAAUGUUAAAAGUGGGACUAACCCCAAAAUCUGCAGGCAGCUCAAGUUUAUAUGCAUUAUCAUUUAUUUUCUCUAACACCUUAAAGGGACCAUCAGCACGUGGCAUUAACUUUGAUUUGCGCAAAUCAGGAAAUCUAUCCUUACGCAAAUGUAACCAAACAAGAUCUCCAGGUGCAAACACAACAUGUUUUCUACCCUUAUCUCCAGCAAGUUUAUAUUUAGCAUUCAUGCGCUCAAUGUUUUCCUUAGUUAACUCAUGCAUUUUUAAAAUCAAUUCAGCACGUUGUUUAGCAUCAAAAUUAACCUUCUCCGAAGAUGGAAGAGGCAACAAAUCAAUAGGUGCACGAGGUAGGAAAUCAUACACAACUUCAAAAGGGCACAUCUUAGUAGUAGAAUGCAAUGAACGAUUAUAAGCAAAUUCAAUAUGAGGCAAGCAUUCCUCCCACAUUUUCUUAUUAUUCUUCAAAACAACCCUAAGCAUAGUAGACAACGUUCUAUUGACUACUUCAGUUUGUCCAUCAGUUUGGGGGUGACAAGUAGUACUAAAAAGCAGUUUAGUCCCCAACUUAGCCCAUAAACAUCUCCAAAAGUGGCUAAGAAAUUUAGUAUCACGAUCUGAAACAAUAGUAUUUGGCACACCAUGCAAGCGAAUAAUUUCACGAAAGAACAAAUCAGCAACAUUAACAGCAUCAUCGCUUUUAUGACAUGGUAUAAAGUGUGCCAUUUUCGAGAAUCUAUCCACGACAACAAAUAUGCUAUCCCUCCCCUUCUUUGUUUGAGGUAAACCUAAAACAAAGUCCAUAGAUAUAUCCUCCCAAGGAACACUAGGUACAGGCAAAGGCAUAUAUAAACCAUGAGGAUUGAGGCGUGACUUAGCUUUUUGACAUGUAGUGCAGCGAGCAAUAAAACGCUCAACAUCCCGUCUCAUCUUUGGCCAAAAGAAAUGUGUAGCAAGUACGUCCUCUGUCUUCUUCACGCCAAAGUGUCCCAUUAAUCCUCCUCCAUGCGCCUCCUGCAACAACAAAAGACGAACGGAGCUAGCUGGAAUGCAUAGCUUGUUAGCACGAAACACAAAUCCAUCGUUAACAACAAACUUGUUCCACAUUCUUCCUUCUUUACAAUUAUGCAUUACAUCUUUAAAAUCAGCAUCAUGCACAUAUUGAUCUUUGAUGGUCUCCAAACCAAAUAUUUUGAAGUCAAGUUGUGAAAGCAUAGUGUAGCGACGAGACAAAGCAUCAGCAAUAACAUUUUCUUUUCCCUUCUUGUGUUUAAUGACAUAAGGGAAAGUCUCAAUGAAUUCAACCCAUUUAGCAUGUCUACGAUUCAGUUUAGCUUGACUUUUAAUAUGUUUCAAUGAUUCAUGAUCAGAAUGUAUAACAAAUUCUUUGGGCCAUAAAUAAUGUUGCCAUGUUUCUAAAGUCCGAACAAGAGCAUAUAAUUCUUUAUCAUAAGUAGAAUAAUUCAGACUAGGCCCACUCAAUUUUUCAGAAAAGUAUGCAACAGGUUUGCCAUCUUGUAAUAACACACCCCCUAAUCCAAUUCCACUAGCAUCACAUUCAAGCUCAAAAGUCUUAUUAAAAUCAGGAAGUUGGAGUAAAGGAGCAUGUGUCAACUUAUCUUUCAAUACCGUGAAGGCUUCUUCCUGUGCGGUACCCCAAAGAAAAGGCACAUCUUUCUUUGUAAGCUCAUUGAGAGGUGCAGUGAUAGAGGCAAAGGUGUCCCGUCUUUCGAUGAGAUGGUGGAUUUCGCUUUGGUGGAAGUCGACUUUGACGAUCCGACUACGAACGUGCGAGGACGUCGCGCCUUAGCAAUCGCUAAACCAACUCCGAGAGGUUAUUGACCACGCCGGAGCACGAUCAACCUGACCACGAAGGUCUGUUUCCUGCGAGCAAACGAAGAACAAGCAAGAAACUAAGAUUGCAAUCUGGAUAUUGCGAAUAUAAGAUGAAAGCUUUAUUGAUCAAGGUGGGGUUCUGUGACGCCUUUGUCUGGUCGUUGAACACAAACGAAGUACGCGAAGUUGCAGCUAUGGCGAACUUUUAAUCUAAACAAAACCCAAAGUCUAAACGAUGCCCUAAGGGCUGUAUAUAUGGAGGAAGAGGGGGGGAAUUUCGUGGCCCUUGGUGGAGGGGUCCGAAAUCAACCCUAUCUCUUGUUUCCCCAAACAUACGGACUCUAAAAAUAGCCUAUACUUAUGUAUUUCGAAAUUACAUGGGCCUGGCCCAAUAAUAAGGUGACGCAGCACCUAAAAUAGCCUCGGGACGAAAUUUAUGAAGUGGCAUCUUGUAUAUUUCGUCCAAGGCUUCAUGCACCCAUUAUGGUGGCUUCAAAGUCCUGAAAUCAUCACUUGUAACUCCAUUCUUGUUCUUGCUCCAAUGUUCAUCCUUCUCCAAGCUAGGCCCUUCAUUUGUAAGCAAAACAAAUGUAUCCAAUUUAGGCAGCAUCAUAUUCUCAUGAACAUUAGAAUCAUUACCAAGAAAUGAAAGUACCUGGUAAUUUAGUUGGCGUGCACGAGCUCUAGUAAUUGGUCCAGUAUGUAUAGCAGCAGGGGCUGUGGGUGUAACAAUUGUAUUGAUGUCCUCAUCAUCCUCCCCUUCUUGAAAUGAAGUCGUCCUCGACGGAAGUUCAUCUUCCUCACCCAAAUAAGGCUUCAAAUCUGCAAUGUUAAAAGUGGGACUAACCCCAAAAUUUGCAGGCAGCUCAAGUUUAUAUGCAUUAUCAUUUAUUUUCUCUAACACCUUAAAGGGACCAUCAGCACGUGGCAUUAUGAUAGAGGCAAAGGUGUCCCGUCUUUCGAUGAGAUGGUGGAUUUCGCUUUGGUGGAAGUCGACUUUGACGAUCCGACUACGAACGUGCGAGGACGUCGCGCCUUAGCAAUCGCUAAACCAACUCCGAGAGGUUAUUGACCACGCCGGAGCACGAUCAACCUGACCACGAAGGUCUGUUUCCUGCGAGCAAACGAAGAACAAGCAAGAAACUAAGAUUGCAAUCUGGAUAUUGCGAAUAUAAGAUGAAAGCUUUAUUGAUCAAGGUGGGGUUCUGUGACGCCUUUGUCUGGUCGUUGAACACAAACGAAGUACGCGAAGUUGCAGCUAUGGCGAACUUUUAAUCUAAACAAAACCCAAAGUCUAAACGAUGCCCUAAGGGCUGUAUAUAUGGAGGAAGAGGGGGGAAUUUCGUGGCCCUUGGUGGAGGGGUCCGAAAUCAACCCUAUCUCUUGUUUCCCCACACAUACGGACUAUAAAAAUAGCCUAUACUUAUGUAUUUCGAAAUUACAUGGGCCUGGCCCAAUAAUAAGGUGACGCAGCACCUAAAAUAGCCUCGGGACGAAAUUUAUGAAGUGGCAUCUUGUAUAUUUCGUCCAAGGCUUCAUGCACCCAUUAUGGUGGCUUCAAAGUCCUGAAAUCAUCACUUGUAACUCCGUUCUUGUUCCCCUUGCGCAUGCCAUCAUCUCCAUGCUUGUUCUUGCUCCAAUGUUCAUCCUUUUCCAAGCUAGGCCCUUCAUUUGUAAGCAAAACAAAUGUAUCCAAUUUAGGCAGCAUCAUAUUCUCAUGAACAUUAGAAUCAUUACCAAGAAACGAAAGUACCUGGUAAUUUAGUUGGCGUGCACGAGCUCUAGUAAUUGGUCCAGUAUGUAUAGCAGCAGGGGCUGUGGGUGUAACAAUUGUAUUGAUGUCCUCAUCAGUAAAUGUUCCAAAUGUUCUUCCAAAGAUCUGCUAUAAAUCAAUAUGUCAUCAAAGUAAACUACCACAAAUCGUCCAAUGAAAGCACGUAAAACUUCGUUCAUUAAUCUCAUGAAAGUACUAGGUGCAUUAGUUAACCCAAAAGGCAUGACUAACCACUCAUAUAAUCCAAACUUAGUUUUAAAUGCUGUUUUCCAUUCAUCUCCCAAUUUCAUACGAAUUUGAUGGUAGCCACUACGCAAAUCAACUUUGGAGAAUAUUGUAGAGCCACUCAAUUCAUCAAGCAUAUCAUCUAGCCUAGGAAUAGGAUGACGAUAACGAAUAGUAAUAUUAUUAAUGCCUCUACAAUCAACACACAUACGUGAUGUACCAUCCUUUUUCGGCACUAGAAUAAUAGGAACAGCACAAGGACUAAGGGAUUCGCGUAUAUAACCUUUGUCGAGAAGCUCUUGUACUUGACGCAUAAUCUCCUUCGUCUCCUCUGGAUUGGUACGGUAUGGUGCACGGUUUGGCAGUGAAGCACCGGGAAUUAAGUCAAUCUGAUGCUCAAUCCCUCGAAUAGGCGGUAAUCCCGGUGGCACGUCUUGUGGAAAAACGUCAGCGAACUCCUGCAAAAUUUUAGUGACAGCAGGAGGCAAAUAGGAAGGCACGUCCUCGAAUGAAAAUAAUGCCUCUUUGCACACAAAAGCAUAGCAAACAGAUUUGCUGAAAUCUAGCUCAUCAAUAUCAGAUUUGGUGGCAAAUAAACAUGCACUUUUCAAUUUAAUUUCAGAAGCAACACUAGAUGGUUUAUUAUUAGGCUUCAUUUGUUGCUCAAAUUCUUUUGCCACAAUCUGAUUUUCACUCUUAUUCUUCUCCUGUUGUGCUUUAUUAUCUCUAUUAAUAUCAUCUUUCAAAAUGGAAUCAGGAGUCAUAGGAAGCAAAGUAAUAUUUUUAUCCUUAUGAACAAGAGUGUAGUGAUUGUUUCUACCAUGGUGUACAGAAUUUUUAUCAAAUUGCCAUGGUCUACCAAGUAAUAAGGAACAUGCUUGCAUAGGUACCACAUCACAAUCAACAUAAUCAGCAUAGGUAGAGAUACUAAAAUGCACACGAACAGUACGUGUUACCUUAACCUUGCCGCUGUUGUUGAACCAUUGGAUGUAGUAAGGAUGUGGAUGUGGUCUUGUGGUGAGAGAAAGCUUCUCCACCAUCUCCAUGCUAGCCAAGUUGUUGCAGCUCCCUCCGUCUAUGAUGACGCGCACAGAACGUUCCUUCACAACUCCCUUGGUAUGGAACAAAUUGUUCCUCUGAUUUUGCUCAGCUUGUGUGACCUGCACACUCAAAACACGUUGAGCAACUAAACAUUCAUACCUGUCAGCGUCUUCAGGAGACAUGUAUUGCGUCUCAUGAUCAGAAUCAUCUCCACCAUGUUCUUCACGUGUAAUAAGAGCCAAAGUCUCCUCAUCAUAGUCACUAGCGGACUCAUAUCCACCAUCCGCGGUAGCAAUCAUCACACGCGGAGAUUUGCAUUCUCUCGCAUAAUGACCUCCUCCCUUACAACGACGACAAAUAAUAUCACUUGUGUGCCCUGUUGAUGCCAUGGAAGAAGAAGAACGCUGUGCAGGCCCCGCAGGUGCGCUCUUGGCAGAUAAUGGUGGUUGUGCCUGUUUUCUUGUAUCACGGCUGGAGGUGGCACCGGAUGGAGGUGCUGGUGCAGUUGAAGUAGAAGAUGCACGUGGUGUCCAUGAUGAAGGUCGGCCUGCAGAAAAGUUAGUUCGCCCCAAUGCUUGUCGAUCCUGCACUUCACGUUCAGCUUUACAAGCAAGAUGGAAUAAACGAGUGAUAUUAGUAUACUCCUUAUAGUCUAGAAUGGUCUGAAUCUCUCUAUUUAAUUGAUGAGGACAUCAAUACAAUUGUUACACCCACAGCCCCUGCUGCUAUACAUACUGGACCAAUUACUAGAGCUCGUGCACGCCAACUAAAUUACCAGGUACUUUCGUUUCUUGGUAAUGAUUCUAAUGUUCAUGAGAAUAUGAUGCUGCCUAAAUUGGAUACAUUUGUUUUGCUUACAAAUGAAGGGCCUAGCUUGGAGAAGGAUGAACAUUGGAGCAAGAACAAGCAUGGAGAUGAUGGCAUGCGCAAGGGAAACAAGAACGGAGUUACAAGUGAUGAUUUCAGGACUUUGAAGCCACCAUAAUGGGUGCAUGAAGCCUUGGACGAAAUAUACAAGAUGCCACUUCAUAAAUUUCGUCCCGAGGCUAUUUUAGGUGUUGCGUCACCUUAUUAUUGGGCCAGGCCCAUGUAAUUUCGAAAUACAUAAGUAUAGGCUAUUUUUAGAGUCCGUAUGUGUGGGGAAACAAGAGAUAGGGUUGAUUUCGGACCCCUCCACCAAGGGCCACGAAAUUCCCCCCUCUUCCUCCAUAUAUACAGCCCUUAGGGCAUCGUUUAGACUUUGGGUUUUGUUUAGAUUAAAAGUUCGCCAUAGCUGCAACUUCGCGUACUUCGUUUGUGUUCCACGACCAGACAAAGGCGUCACAGAACCCCACCUUGAUCAAUAAAGCUUUCAUCUUAUAUUCGCAAUAUCCAGAUUGCAAUCUUAGUUUCUUGCUUGUUCUUCGUUUGCUCGCAGGAAACAGACCCUCGUGGUCAGGUUGAUCGUGCUCCGGCGUGGUCAAUAACCUCUCGGAGUUGGUUUAGCGAUUGCUAAGGCGCGACGUCCUCGCACGUUCGUAGUCGGAUCGUCAAAGUCGACUUCCACCAAAGCGAUAUCCAUCAUCUCAUCGAAAGACGGGACACCUUUGCCUCUAUCACACGUUGUUUAGCAUCAAAAUUAACCUUCUCCGAAGAUGGAAGAGGCAACAAAUCAAUAGGUGCACGAGGUAGGAAACCAUACACAACUUCAAAAGGGCACAUCUUAGUAGUAGAAUGCAAUGAACGAUUAUAAGCAAAUUCAAUAUGAGGCAAGCAUUCCUCCCACAUUUUCUUAUUAUUCUUCAAAACAGCCCUAAGCAUAGCAGACAACGUUCUAUUGACUACUUCAGUUUGUCCAUCAGUUUGGGGGUGACAAGUAGUACUAAAAAGCAGUUUAGUCCCCAACUUAGCCCAUAAACAUCUCCAAAAGUGGCUAAGAAAUUUAGUAUCACGAUCUGAAACAAUAGUAUUUGGCACACCAUGCAAGCGAAUAAUUUCACGAAAGAACAAAUCAGCAACAUUAACAGCAUCAUCGCUUUUAUGACAUGGUAUAAAGUGUGCCAUUUUCGAGAAUCUAUCCACGACAACAAAUAUGCUAUCCCUCCCCUUCUUUGUUUGAGGUAAACCUAAAACAAAGUCCAUAGAUAUAUCCUCCCAAGGAACACUAGGUACAGGCAAAGGCAUAUAUAAACCAUGAGGAUUGAGGCGUGACUUAGCUUUUUGACAUGUAGUGCAGCGAGCAAUAAAACGCUCAACAUCCCGUCUCAUCUUUGGCCAAAAGAAAUGUGUAGCAAGUACGUCCUCUGUCUUCUUCACGCCAAAGUGUCCCAUUAAUCCUCCUCCAUGCGCCUCCUGCAACAACAAAAGACGAACGGAGCUAGCUGGAAUGCAUAGCUUGUUAGCACGAAACACAAAUCCAUCGUUAACAACAAACUUGUUCCACAUUCUUCCUUCUUUACAAUUAUGCAUUACAUCUUUAAAAUCAGCAUCAUGCACAUAUUGAUCUUUGAUGGUCUCCAAACCAAAUAUUUUGAAGUCAAGUUGUGAAAGCAUAGUGUAGCGACGAGACAAAGCAUCAGCAAUAACAUUUUCUUUUCCCUUCUUGUGUUUAAUGACAUAAGGGAAAGUCUCGAUGAAUUCAACCCAUUUAGCAUGUCUACGAUUCAGUUUAGCUUGACUUUUAAUAUGUUUCAAUGAUUCAUGAUCAGAAUGUAUAACAAAUUCUUUGGGCCAUAAAUAAUGUUGCCAUGUUUCUAAAGUCCGAACAAGAGCAUAUAAUUCUUUAACAUAAGUAGAAUAAUUCAGACUAGGCCCACUCAAUUUUUCAGAAAAGUAUGCAACAGGUUUGCCAUCUUGUAAUAACACACCUCCUAAUCCAAUUCCACUAGCAUCACAUUCAAGCUCAAAAGUCUUAUUAAAAUCAGGAAGUUGGAGUAAAGGAGCAUGUGUCAACUUAUCUUUCAAUACCGUGAAGGCUUCUUCCUGUGCGGUACCCCAAAGAAAAGGCACAUCUUUCUUUGUAAGCUCAUUGAGAGGUGCAACAAUGGUGCUGAAAUCUCUCACAAAACGCCUAUAGAAUCCAGCGAGGCCAAGAAAACUCCUCACUUGUGUGACCGUUUUGGGCUGCGGCCAACUCUCAAUAGCUUCAAUCUUGGCUUUAUCAACUUCAAUUCCCUGUGGAGUAACAACAUAGCCAAGAAAAGAUACUCGGUCGAUGCAAAAGGUGCACUUCCCAAGGUUACCAAACAAACGUGCAUCACGUAGAGCAAUAAAAACAGCACGUAAAUGUUCCAAAUGUUCUUCUAAAGAUCUGCUAUAAAUCAAUAUGUCAUCAAAGUAAACUACCACAAAUCGUCCAAUGAAAGUACUAGGUGCAUUAGUUAACCCAAAAGGCAUGACUAACCACUCAUAUAAUCCAAACUUAGUUUUAAAUGCUGUUUUCCAUUCAUCUCCCAAUUUCAUACGAAUUUGAUGGUAGCCACUACGCAAAUCAACUUUGGAGAAUAUUGUAGAGCCACUCAAUUCAUCAAGCAUAUCAUCUAGCCUAGGAAUAGGAUGACGAUAACGAAUAGUAAUAUUAUUAAUGCCUCUACAAUCAACACACAUACGUGAUGUACCAUCCUUUUUCGGCACUAGAAUAAUAGGAACAGCACAAGGACUAAGGGAUUCGCGUAUAUAACCUUUGUCGAGAAGCUCUUGUACUUGACGCAUAAUCUCCUUCGUCUCCUCUGGAUUGGUACGGUAUGGUGCACGGUUUGGCAGUGAAGCACCGGGAAUUAAAUGUUAGUGACAGCAGGAGGCAAAGAGGAAGGCACGUCCUCGAAUGAAAAUAAUGCCUCUUUGCACACAAAAGCAUAGCAAACAGAUUUGCUGAAAUCUAGCUCAUCAAUAUCAGAUUUGGUGGCGAAUAAACAUGCACUUUUCAAUUUAAUUUCAGAAGCAACACUAGAUGGCUUAUUAUUAGGCUUCAUUUGUUGCUCAAAUUCUUUUGCCACAAUCUGAUUUUCACUCUUAUUCUUCUCCUGUUGUGCUUUAUUAGCUCUAUUAAUAUCAUCUUUCAAAAUGGAAUCAGGAGUCAUAGGAAGCAAAGUAAUAUUUUUAUCCUUAUGAACAAGAGUAUAGUGAUUGUUUCUACCAUGGUGUACAGAAUUUUUAUCAAAUUGCCAUGGUCUACCAAGUAAUAAGGAACAUGCUUGCAUAGGUACCACAUCACAAUCAACAUAAUCAGCAUAUGUAGAGAUACUAAAAUGCACACGAACAGUACGUGUUACCUUAACCUUGCCGCUGUUGUUGAACCAUUGGAUGUAGUAAGGAUGUGGAUGUGGUCUUGUGGUGAGAGAAAGCUUCUCCACCAUCUCCAUGCUAGCCAAGUUGUUGCAGCUCCCUCCGUCUAUUAUGACGCGCACAGAACGUUCCUUCACAACUCCCUUGGUAUGGAACAAAUUGAGCCUCUGAUUUUGCUCAGCUUGUGUGACCUGCACACUCAAAACACGUUGAGCAACUAAACAUUCAUACCUGUCAGCGUCUUCAGGAGCCAUGUAUUGCGUCUCAUGAUCAGAAUUAUCUCCACCAUGUUCUUCACGUGUAAUAAGAGCCAAUGUCUCCUCAUCAUAGUCACUAGCGGACUCAUAUCCACCAUCCGCAGUAGCAAUCAUCACACGCGGAGAUUUGCAUUCCCUCGCAUAAUGACCUCCGCCCUUACAACAACGACAAAUAAUAUCACUUGUGUGCCCUUUUGAUGCCAUGGAAGAAGAAGAACGCUGUGCAGGCCCCGCAGGUGCGCUCUUGGCAGAUAAUGGUGGUUGUGCCUGUUUUCUUGUAUCACGGCUGGAGGUGGCACCGGAUGGAGGUGCUGGUGCAGUUGAAGUAGAAGAUGCACGUGGUGUCCAUGAUGAAGAUCGGCCUGCAGAAAAGUUAGUUCGCCCCAAUGCUUGUCGAUCCUGCACUUCACGUUCAGCUUUACAAGCAAGAUGGAAUAAACGAGUGAUAUUAGUAUACUCCUUAUAGUCUAGAAUGGUUUGAAUCUCUCUAUUUAAUCCACCCAGAAAACGUGCAAGCAUAGCUUCAUUCUCCUCAACAAUACCACAUCUAAUCAUGCCAGUUUGUAAUUCCUGAUAAUAUUCUUCUACAGAAUUUUUCCCUUGUCUUAAACGCUGCAAUUUUUGAAGCAAUUCACGUUGAUAAUAUGGUGGAACCCAACGCGUACGCAUAGCAGUUUUCAAAGCAGCCCAAGUAGUUGGAAUAGGAUAUAAUCUACAAUGUUCAGCCCAAAGAUCUGCUAUAAAUCAAUAUGUCAUCAAAGUAAACUACCACAAAUCGUCCAAUGAAAGCACGUAAAACUUCGUUCGUUAAUCUCAUGAAAGUACUAGGUGCAUUAGUUAACCCAAAAGGCAUGACUAACCACUCAUAUAAUCCAAACUUAGUUUUGAAUGCUGUUUUCCAUUCAUCUCCCAAUUUCAUACGAAUUUGAUGGUAUCCACUACGCAAAUCAACUUUGGAGAAUAUUGUAGAGCCACUCAAUUCAUCAAGCAUAUCAUCUAGCCUAGGAAUAGGAUGACGAUAACGAAUAGUAAUAUUAUUAAUGCCUCUACAAUCAACACACAUACGUGAUGUACCAUCCUUUUUCGGCACUAAAAUAAUAGGAACAGCACAAGGACUAAGGGAUUCGCGUAUAUAACCUUUGUCGAGAAGCUCUUGUACUUGACGCAUAAUCUCCUUCGUCUCCUCUGGAUUGGUACGGUAUGGUGCACGGUUUGGCAGUGAAGCACCGGGAAUUAAGUCGAUCUGAUGCUCAAUCCCUCGAAUAGGCGGUAAUCCCGGUGGCACGUCUUGUGGAAAAACGUCAGCGAACUCCUGUAAAAUGUUAGUGACAGCAGGAGGCAAAGAGGAAGGCACGUCCUCGAAUGAAAAUAAUGCCUCUUUGCACACAAAAGCAUAGCAAACAGAUUUGCUGAAAUCUAGCUCAUCAAUAUCAGAUUUGGUGGCAAAUAAACAUGCACUUUUCAAUUUAAUUUCAGAAGCAACACUAGAUGGUUUAUUAUUAGGCUUCAUUUGUUGCUCAAAUUCUUUUGCCACAAUCUGAUUUUCACUCUUAUUCUUCUCCUGUUGUGCUUUAUUAGCUCUAUUAAUAUCAUCUUUCAAAAUGGAAUCAGGAGUCAUAGGAAGCAAAGUAAUAUUUUUAUCCUUAUGAACAAGAGUGUAGUGAUUGUUUCUACCAUGGUGUACAGAAUUUUUAUCAAAUUGCCAUGGUCUACCAAGUAAUAAGGAACAUGCUUGCAUAGGUACCACAUCACAAUCAACAUAAUCAGCAUAGGUAGAGAUACUAAAAUGCACACGAACAGUACGUGUUACCUUAACCUUGCCGCUGUUGUUGAACCAUUGGAUGUAGUAAGGAUGUGGAUGUGGUCUUGUGGUGAGAGAAAGCUUCUCCACCAUCUCCAUGCUAGCCAAGUUGUUGCAGCUCCCUCCGUCUAUGAUGACGCGCACAGAACGUUCCUUCACAACUCCCUUGGUAUGGAACAAAUUGUUCCUCUGAUUUUGCUCAGCUUGUGUGACCUGCACACUCAAAACACGUUGAGCAACUAAACAUUCAUACCUGUCAGCGUCUUCAGGAGACAUGUAUUGCGUCUCAUGAUCAGAAUCAUCUCCACCAUGUUCUUCACGUGUAAUAAGAGCCAAAGUCUCCUCAUCAUAGUCACUAGCGGACUCAUAUCCACCAUCCGCGGUAGCAAUCAUCACACGCGGAGAUUUGCAUUCUCUCGCAUAAUGACCUCCUCCCUUACAACGACGACAAAUAAUAUCACUUGUGUGCCCUGUUGAUGCCAUGGAAGAAGAAGAACGCUGUGCAGGCCCCGCAGGUGCGCUCUUGGCAGAUAAUGGUGGUUGUGCCUGUUUUCUUGUAUCACGGCUGGAGGUGGCACCGGAUGGAGGUGCUGGUGCAGUUGAAGUAGAAGAUGCACGUGGUGUCCAUGAUGAAGGUCGGUGAUGAGGACAUGACUACCUUGGAUAUGACCAAAAAUAUUGCAUAUAUGCAUAUUUGUCAGGUGAUUUCUAGUGCAAACUAUUCAAUAAUCUAUUUAUGUUAUCCAGAACAAAAAUACUUCACACACUUUUGUGUUUUGUCUAAUUGCAGGGUGUAUGGGACAUUUGUACAAUCCACAUAUGAAGAUAAGGAAGAAAGAGAUGUUUAUUUGCUGUCCAAAAAGUUCUCUCACGUCACUUUUGGCCCAAGAGAAGAUAGAGUCCAAGUCUCUCACGUUCUGGAUUCAGAUUCGGACUGCACAGACACACCUGACUCAAAACGGACACAAGUUUUUCAUACGGACUCCGAAUUGGGUGAUUCUUUUUUUGUUGGAAACUAGAUUUCGUGCACUUUCCAACCCAAUUGGAAUCACCUUCAAAUUCGUCCGGAGCGCUGAGUUGUGGACAAAACAAUCUGAUGCUGCAGCAGAAUCCGAGUCAAACUACAAGUCCAAAGGUGUUACAUCAUCUCCACUUGGGCCCAUUGGCCUUGUACGACCUAGAUUUAGUUUUAGGCUGCCUUGGGACGUCCUCCCACCUCCUUGGCCGCCACCCCUUGCUCCUAUAUAAGUAGAUCCAUCUAGUAGCUUUUCCUGGGGAUUUGUUUAGUUAAAAGUUAGCCAUUGCAACUUCGUGUACUUCGUUUGUGUCCAACGACCAGACCAAGACCGCUUACGGAUCCCCACCAUUAUCAAUACUUCAUAUAUAUUCGCAAUAUUCAGAUUGCUUUAUCAUAUUCUUGCUCGUUCUUCGAUUGCUUGCAGGAAUAGACCUUCGUGGUCAGGUUGAUCGUGCUCCAGCGUGGUCAAUAACCUCUCGGAGUUGGUUUAGCGAUUGCUAAGGCGCAACGUCGUGCACGUUUGUAGUCGGAUCGUCAAAGUCGUCUCCACGAAAUCGAUAGUUAUCAUCUCAUCGAAAGAUCGGGACACCCCGCCUCUAUCAGUCGGCCUGCAGAAAAGUUAGUUCGCCCCAAUGCUUGUCGAUCCUGCACUUCACGUUCAGCUUUACAAGCAAGAUGGAAUAAACGAGUGAUAUUAGUAUACUCCUUAUAGUCUAGAAUGGUCUGAAUCUCUCUAUUUAAUCCACCCAGAAAACGUGCAAGCAUAGCUUCAUUCUCCUCAACAAUACCACAUCUAAUCAUGCCAGUUUGUAAUUCCUGAUUAUAUUCUUCUACAGAAUUUUUCCCUUGUCUUAAACGCUGCAAUUUUUGAAGCAAUUCACGUUGAUAAUAUGGUGGAACCCAACGCGUACGCAUAGCAGUUUUCAAAGCAGCCCAAGUAGUUGGAAUAGGAUAUAAUCUACAAUGUUCAGACCACCAUACACAUGCAAAACUAGUGAAAGCACAAACGGCAGCAGCAACUUGUCUCUCCUCAGGAUAUUGUAAACAUGUAAAUCGUUGUUCAGUUUCUAACUCCCAAGUAAGAUAUAUAUCAGGAACAUAUCUACCCUCAAAUGGUGGAAUAUUCAAUUUCAGUUUAGGAAUAUGGACAUCAUCUCGUACCUGAGGUGGUGGUGCAGGCCUACCAUUACGAAUAUAUACCUGAGGUCGACCUGCUGGUGGUGGUACAGGUGGCUGCACGUAGUGUUGAUUUUGAUCAACCUCAUCCUCAUAAUCUCCCACAUAAUCAUCCUCCUCCGCAUCAGCAGCAGGAGCCACAGAAGUAUUAACAGCAGCACCAACAGUUUGGCCAAACGCAAGAGGAACACGGCUUGCUCGGCGGAGGUCUGCUUCGCGACGUGGAGGUAGUCGUUGUUGUUGUUGUUGGAGAGGUGCGUUAGCUGCAGCGGGUGGUGGUGGUGGAAGACGCACGAGCAAUUCAUUAAACUUGUUAUCGAGCUUUGUUUCGAACGUCUUCUCAAAGCCAGUGAUCUUCUCCAUGGCCUCUUCAAAAUUGUUCAGCACAUCUUGCACCUGUUCAGUCAUCAUUUGCUGAAACUUAUUAUGAAGCUCCUUGUUCGAUAAAUUCUCCCAGUCAAUCUCGUCGGCUUGUGAUCCUGGCAUGGUUAGCAGCAAUAGAAACACACAAGAAUAUGAUCCUACAGACUACGAACAAGUGGUGGUGGUGGGUGUCACAAAUCCGUCAAGCAAAUCUCAAAUUCUUACUAGUUCUUACCCAGCAGCAGGCGGUGAUCGGCAACCGUUGUAGUCAAAAACUCUCAAAGCAUGGAUAGAGAGAUUACCAGGGAGAGUCAAACGCACGACGUAGAUGUAUGUGGAGCUGGGAAGGCUUAUAAUAUGGUAGCAAAAAGGGUCAGCAAUAAUCAAUUCAGAGAUGCAAAGUUGAAUAAACGCUCAACGACGGUACUGUGCUGGUCCUAGGCUAGACUGUGCUAGAGACGCGAGCCUAGAACACUAACAAAAUCACGGCGCGGCACGUAAACAAGGGAAAAGCACACUCUGGAAUUUUUUUUUCGCUCUUUUUUUUUCGCUCUUUUUUUUGCGCUGCUUUUUUUUGCGAAAAAUCACUAUAAUGGCGAGUGUCUCAAAACUCUUCUUAGCUCAAACUGACAGGAUGGGCACGAAAUUUUUUUGACCAAUUUUUUUUUUUUGACUGCCCGGACCCAAAAACUGGAAACGGGUCAAAAAAACUUCCUAUAAUGGCACCUGUCUCAAAACACUCAGAAACACCUAAAAAUAGGAUAGCCAGAAAUUUUUUCGAAAAAUGCGUUUUCGAAAAAUUUUGGGCCUAAACGGAGCGUGGCUACCCGACUCUCUUUUUUUUUUUCCGAAACCUACUCCGGCAAGGAAACACGAAUCGGAAUCUAGAUGGAUCUCGAAAACAAGCCUAAUAUGACAAGAACUCGGAUUGGUGGUGGAUAUAUGGUGGUAGAUGGCAGCGGUGGUGGUAUAUGACAGCUGUGGUGGUAUAUGGAUACGGAUUCGAAGCGGUGGCGGAUAAGCGGUGGUGGUAGAUGGCAGGGGUGAUGAUGAUGGUGCGGCGGCGGCGUGACAACUUAUGACCAGAACUCGAAACUCUAAAACACUAGACUCUAAGACCAGCAACUAGACCCGACGAUGCAACCGCAAAUUCAACAAAGCAAAACCCUAAAAAGAUUAUGCAAAGGCUCAGAUUGGUUCGGAUAUGAUGAACUAACCCUAAUUUUUUUGUGGCUUUUUCGUGGACUGUAGGUAUGAAGAACAGACUCGAUCUAAACUACGAAAAACUGUAAAAUCUCACCGAGCAACCUGGAAAUCUGAUACCACUUGAUAGAGGCAAAGGUGUCCCGUCUUUCGAUGAGAUGAUGGAUAUCGCUUUGGUGGAAGUCGACUUUGACGAUCCGACUACGAACGUGCGAGGACGUCGCGCCUUAGCAAUCGCUAAACCAACUCCGAGAGGUUAUUGACCACGCCGGAGCACGAUCAACCUGACCACGAGGGUCUGUUUCCUGCGAGCAAACGAAGAACAAGCAAGAAACUAAGAUUGCAAUCUGGAUAUUGCGAAUAUAAGAUGAAAGCUUUAUUGAUCAAGGUGGGGUUCUGUGAUGCCUUUGUCUGGUCGUUGAACACAAACGAAGUACGCGAAGUUGAAGCUAUGGCGAACUUUUAAUCUAAACAAAACCCAAAGUCUAAACGAUGCCCUAAGGGCUGUAUAUAUGGAGGAAGAGGGGGCGAAUUUCGUGGCCCUUGGUGGAGGGGUCCGAAAUCAACCCUAUCUCUUGUUUCCCCACACAUACAGACUCUAAAAAUAGCCUAUACUUAUGUAUUUCGAAAUUACAUGGGCCUGGCCCAAUAAUAAGGUGACGCAGCACCUAUAAUAGACUCGGGACGAAAUUUAUGAAGUGGCAUCUUGUAUAUUUCGUCCAAGGCUUCAUGCACCCAUUAUGGUGGCUUCAAAGUCCUGAAAUCAUCACUUGUAACUCCGUUCUUGUUUCCCUUGCGCAUGCCAUCACCUCCAUGCUUGUUCUUGCUCCAAUGUUCAUCCUUCUCCAAGCUAGGCCCUUCAUUUGUAAGCAAAACAAAUGUAUCCAAUUUAGGCAGCAUCAUAUUCUCAUGAACAUUAGAAUCAUUACCAAGAAACGAAAGUACCUGGUAAUUUAGUUGGCGUGCACGAGCUCUAGUAAUUGGUCCAGUAUGUAUAGCAGCAGGGGCUGUGGGUGUAACAAUUGUAUUGAUGUCCUCAUCAGUUAUCCGGGCGUCCGGGGGGGCGUCCAGCUGAUCCGGGGGAUGUCCGGAUGAUCCGGGAGAAGGUCCGGAUGAUCCGGGCAAGUCAAUCCGCUCGGGAUUUGCUCGUGGAGACGAAUUUUUGGGCGGAAUUUGGGGAUUUUAGGGUCAAAUUGACGAGAUUUCGUGGAUGGAAGGUGGGGAAACUUGGGAAAAUGCUAGAUCCACUUGAAACCAAGCAAAUCCAUGGAUCAAAAUCAACAAAACAUCAUCAAACCAACAAAUCACAAAAAAAAUUUGGGGCUAUUUUUGGUGGGGAUUUUCGGAUUUAGGACGAAAACAACAAAAUCAAGCUAGAAAACACGGGGUAGGGCUCCAAAACGUGAUCAACGUGGCUCAUGAUACCAAGAUGAUGUAGGGCGGAACCCUAUAGCGUCGAUCUUUCACCUUUGGAGGGGAUCCUACGAGGAGACACAAAGAACGAGCGGAAGAACACGAGGAAAUCACGGGGAGGAACGAGGGAAAACACUCAACCAACAAGGAAUCGGUCACACAAAUGCUAGAUCGAAGAACACAAAGAGAUACACGAGAUCCAAAGUCAACAAAGGUAAGGAUACAAAGGUAACCGAUCUUCUCCAAGAGGAGGCCUUGAUGUUCUUCCCUAAAGAGGGGUCUUGAAUCCCCUUGGGGAUCUUCUCCGGAGAGGUCCUGAUCUCCGAGGAGAAGUAUCCAAGUGGAGGAGCAAUGGCUCUCACACAAACAUGAGCUAAUCCAAUGCUAAGUCUCAAAGUGGGGAGGAGGAGGUCUAUUUAUAGUGCUAAGCCACGAAGGGGUAAGUGAGGGGCGAAGGGGUACAUGGGCUUCGGCCCAAGUCAUGCACGCAGGCGGGGUCCAGAUGAUCCGGAUGGUGGCCCCGAUGAUCCGGGUGUCGGGGGUCCGGAUGAUCCGGGUGACCGUCCGGAUGAUCCGGCUUCGUCGAGCAGCUUCUAUUGUCUUCGGGCACUGUUACCCGGACGAUCCGGGGGAGGGUCCGGAUGAUCCGGCUGGGCCCGGAUGAUCCGGACGGUGGUCCGGACGUCCGGCCUGGCUCCAGCAGCCGCUCCAUCUUCUUCUUCCUUCUUUCUUCCGUCUUCUCUUCCAUGCUUGGCCUUGGUCCUUGGAUUCUCCAUGGUCAUCUUGGUUGUACCUGUGUGUAUGCAAGGUCCAUGCAUGAGGUAGUAGCCGUGUCUCAAAUGCGGAAAGUGACGGUUCGAAGAGGAGUGAAUUUGAUAGAGGCAAAGGUGUCCCGUCUUUCGAUGAGAUGGUGGAUUUCGCUUUGGUGGAAGUCGACUUUGACGAUCCGACUACGAACGUGCGAGGACGUCGCGCCUUAGCAAUCGCUAAACCAACUCCGAGAGGUUAUUGACCACGCCGCAGCACGAUCAACCUGACCACGAGGGUCUGUUUCCUGCGAGCAAACGAAGAACAAGCAAGAAACUAAGAUUGCAAUCUGGAUAUUGCGAAUAUAAGAUGAAAGCUUUAUUGAUCAAGGUGGGGUUCUGUGACGCCUUUGUCUGGUCGUUGAACACAAACGAAGUACGCGAAGUUGCAGCUAUGGCGAACUUUUAAUCUAAACAAAACCCAAAGUCUAAACGAUGCCCUAAGGGCUGUAUAUAUGGAGGAAGAGGGGGGGAAUUUCGUGGCCCUUGGUGGAGGGGUCCGAAAUCAACCCUAUCUCUUGUUUCCCCACACAUACUGACUCUAAAAAUAGCCUAUACUUAUGUAUUUCGAAAUUACAUGGGCCUGGCCCAAUAAUAAGGUGACGCAGCACCUAAAAUAGCCUCGGGACGAAAUUUAUGAAGUGGCAUCUUGUAUAUUUCGUCCAAGGCUUCAUGCACCCAUUAUGGUGGCUUCAAAGUCCUGAAAUCAUCACUUGUAACUCCGUUCUUGUUCCCCUUGCGCAUGCCAUCAUCUCCAUGCUUGUUCUUGCUCCAAUGUUCAUCCUUCUCCAAGCUAGGCCCUUCAUUUGUAAGCAAAACAAAUGUAUCCAAUUUAGGCAGCAUCAUAUUCUCAUGAACAUUAGAAUCAUUACCAAGAAACGAAAGUACCUGGUAAUUUAGUUGGCGUGCACGAGCUCUAGUAAUUGGUCCAGUAUGUAUAGCAGCAGGGGCUAUGGGUGUAACAAUUGUAUUGAUGUCCUCAUCAAGAUAUGUUCCUGAUAUAUAUCUUACUUGGGAGUUAGAAACUGAACAACGAUUUACAUGUUUACAAUAUCCUGAGGAGAGACGAGUUGCUGCUGCUGUUUGUGCUUUCACUAGUUUUGCAUGUGUAUGGUGGUCUGAACAUUGUAGAUUAUAUCCUAUUCCAACUACUUGGGCUGCUUUGAAAACUGCUAUGCGUACGCGUUGGGUUCCACCAUAUUAUCAACGUGAAUUGCUUCAAAAAUUGCAGCGUUUAAGACAAGGGAAAAAUUCUGUAGAAGAAUAUUAUCAGGAAUUACAAACUGGCAUGAUUAGAUGUGGUAUUGUUGAGGAGAAUGAAGCUAUGCUUGCACGUUUUCUGGGUGGAUUAAAUAGAGAGAUUCAGACCAUUCUAGACUAUAAGGAGUAUACUAAUAUCACUCGUUUAUUCCAUCUUGCUUGUAAAGCUGAACGUGAAGUGCAGGAUCGACAAGCAUUGGGGCGAACUAACUUUUCUGCAGGCCGACCUUCAUCAUGGACACCACGAGCAUCUUCUACUUCAACUGCACCAGCACCUCCAUCCGGUGCCACCUCCAGCCGUGAUACAAGAAAACAGGCACAACCACCAUUAUGUGCCAGGAGCGCACCUGCGGGGCCUGCACAGCGUUCUUCUUCUUCCAUGGCAUCAACAGGGCACACCAGUGAUAUUAUUUGUCGUCGUUGUAAGGGAGGAGGUCAUUAUGCGAGGGAAUGCAAAUCUCCGCGUGUGAUGAUUGCUACCGCGGAUGGUGGAUAUGAGUCCGCUAGUGACUAUGAUGAGGAGACAUUGGCUCUUAUUACACGUGAAGAACAUGGUGGAGAUGAUUCCGAUCAUGAGACGCAAUACAUGGCUCCUGAAGACGCUGACAGGUAUGAAUGUUUAGUUGCUCAACGUGUUUUGAGUGUGCAGGUCACACAAGCUGAGCAAAAUCAGAGGAACAAUUUGUUCCAUACCAAGGGAGUUGUGAAGGAACGUUCUGUGCGCGUCAUAAUAGACGGAGGGAGCUGCAACAACUUGGCUAGCAUGGAGAUGGUGGAGAAGCUUUCUCUCACCACAAGACCACAUCCACAUCCUUACUACAUCCAAUGGUUCAACAACAGCGGCAAGGUUAAGGUAACACGUACUGUUCGUGUGCAUUUUAGUAUCUCUACAUAUGCUGAUUAUGUUGAUUGUGAUGUGGUACCUAUGCAAGCAUGUUCCUUAUUACUUGGUAGACCUUGGCAAUUUGAUAAAAAUUCUGUACACCAUGGUAGAAACAAUCACUAUACUCUUGUUCAUAAGGAUAAAAAUAUUACUUUGCUUCCUAUGACUCCUAAUUCCAUUUUGAAAGAUGAUAUUAAUAGAGCUAAUAAAGCAAAACAGGAGACGAAUAAGAGUGAAAAUCAGAUUGUGGCAAAAGAAUUUGAGCAACAAAUGAAGCCUAAUAAUAAACCAUCUAGUGUUGCUUCUGAAAUUAAAUUGAAAAGUGCAUGUUUAUUUGCCACCAAAUCUGAUAUUGAUGAGCUAGAUUUCAGCAAAUCUGUUUGCUAUGCUUUUGUGUGCAAAGAGGCAUUAUUUUCAUUCGAGGACGUGCCUUCCUCUUUGCCUCCUGCUGUCACUAACAUUUUGCAGGAGUUCGCUGACGUCUUUCCACAAGACGUGCCACCGGGAUUACCGCCUAUUCGAGGGAUUGAGCAUCAAAUUGACUUAAUUCCCGGUGCUUCACUGCCAAACCGUGCACCAUACCGUACCAAUCCAGAGGAGACGAAGGAGAUUAUGCGUCAAGUACUACUUGAUAGAGACGAGGGUCCCGAUCUUUCGAUGAGAUGAUAACUAUCGAUUUGAUGGAGACGACUUUCACGAUCCGACUACAAAUGUGCACGACGUUGCACCUUAGCAAUCGCUAAACCGAUCUCCUGAGGUUACUGACGAUGCUGGAAGCACGGUCAGCCUGACCACGAAGGUCUAUUCCUGCAAGCAAUCGAAGAACGAGCAAGAAUAUGAUAAAGCAAUCUGAAUAUUGCAAAUAUAUAUGAAGUAUUGAUAAUGGUGGGGAUCCGGAAGCGGUCUUGGUCUGGUCGUUGGACACAAACGAAGUACACGAAGUUGCAAUGGCUAACUUUUAACUAAACAAAUCCCAAAGUCUAAACGAUGCCCUAAGGGCUGUAUAUAUGGAGGAAGAGGGGGGGAAUUUCGUGGCCCUUGGUGGAGGAGUCCGAAAUCAACCCUAUCUCUUGUUUCCCCACACAUACGGACUCUAAAAAUAGCCUAUACUUAUGUAUUUCGAAAUUACAUGGGCCUGGCCCAAUAAUAAGGUGACGCAGCACCUAAAAUAGCCUCGGGACGAAAUUUAUGAAGUGGCAUCUUGUAUAUUUCGUCCAAGGCUUCAUGCACCCAUUAUGGUGGCUUCAAAGUCCUGAAAUCAUCACUUGUAACUCCGUUCUUGUUCCCCUUGCGCAUGCCAUCAUCUCCGUGCUUGUUCUUGCUCCAAUGUUCAUCCUUCUCCAAGCUAGGCCCUUCAUUUGUAAGCAAAACAAAUGUAUCCAAUUUAGGCAGCAUCAUAUUCUCAUGAACAUUAGAAUCAUUACCAAGAAACGAAAGUACCUGGUAAUUUAGUUGGCGUGCACGAGCUCUAGUAAUUGGUCCAGUAUGUAUAGCAGCAGGGGCUGUGGGUGUAACAAUUGUAUUGAUGUCCUCAUCACAAAGUGUCCCAUUAAUCCUCCUCCAUGCGCCUCCUGCAACAACAAAAGACGAACGGAGCUAGCUGGAAUGCAUAGCUUGUUAGCACGAAACACAAAUCCAUCAUUAACGACAAACUUGUUCCACAUUCUUCCUUCUUUGCAAUUCUGCAUUACAUCUUUAAAAUCAGCAUCAUGCACAUAUUGAUCUUUGAUGGUCUCCAAACCAAAUAUUUUGAAGUCAAGUUGUGAAAGCAUAGUAUAGCGACGAGACAAUGCAUCAGCAAUAACAUUUUCUUUUCCCUUCUUGUGUUUAAUGACAUAAGGGAAAGUCUCAAUGAAUUCAACCCAUUUAGCAUGUCUAAGAUUCAGUUUAGCUUGACUUUUAAUAUGUUUCAAAGAUUCAUGAUCAGAAUGUAUAACAAAUUCUUUGGGCCAUAAAUAAUGUUGCCAUGUUUCUAAAGUCCGAACAAGAGCAUAUAAUUCUUUAUCAUAAGUAGAAUAAUUCAGACUAGGCCCACUCAAUUUUUCAGAAAAGUAUGCAACAGGUUUGCCAUCUUGUAAUAACACACCUCCUAAUCCAAUUCCACUAGCAUCACAUUCAAGCUCAAAAGUCUUAGUAAAAUCAGGAAGUUGGAGUAAAGGAGCAUGUGUCAACUUAUCUUUCAAUACCGUGAAGGCUUCUUCCUGUGCGGUACCCCAAACAAAAGGCACAUCCUUCUUUGUAAGCUCGUUGAGAGGUGCAGCAAUGGUGCUGAAAUCUCUCACAAAACGCCUAUAGAAUCCAGCGAGGCCAAGAAAACUCCUCACUUGUGUGACCGUUUUGGGCUGCGGCCAACUCUCAAUAGCUUCAAUCUUGGCUUUGUCAACUUCAAUUCCCUGUGGAGUAACAACAUAGCCAAGAAAAGAUACUCGGUCGGUGCAAAAGGUGCACUUCCCAAGGUUACCAAACAAACGUGCAUCACGUAGAGCAAUAAAAACAGCACGUAAAUGUUCCAAAUGUUCUUCCAAAGGUCUGCUAUAAAUCAGUAUAUCAUCAAAAUAGACUACCACAAAUCUUCCAAUGAAAGCACGUAAAACUUCGUUCAUUAGUCUCAUGAAAGUACUAGGCGCAUUAGUUAACCCAAAAGGCAUGACUAACCACUCAUAUAAUCCAAACUUAGUUUUAAAUGCUGUUUUCCAUUCAUCUCCCAAUUUCAUACGAAUUUGAUGGUAUCCACUACGCAAAUCAACUUUGGAGAAUAUUGUAGAGCCACUCAAUUCAUCAAGCAUAUCAUCUAGCCUAGGAAUAGGAUGACGAUAACGAAUAGUAAUAUUAUUAAUGCCUCUACAAUCAACACACAUACGUGAUGUACCAUCCUUUUUCGGCACUAGAAUAAUAGGAACAGCACAAGGACUAAGGGAUUCGCGUAUAUAACCUUUGUCGAGAAGCUCUUGUACUUGACGCAUAAUCUCCUUUGUCUCCUCUGGAUUGGUACGGUAUGGUGCACGGUUUGGCAGUGAAGCACCGGGAAUUAAGUCGAUCUGAUGCUCAAUCCCUCGAAUAGGCGGUAAUCCCGGUGGCACGUCUUGUGGAAAAACGUCAGCGAACUCCUGCAAAAUGUUAGUGACAGCAGGAGGCAAAGAGGAAGGCACGUCCUCGAAUUAAAAUAAUGCCUCUUUGCACACAAAAGCAUAGCAAACAGAUUUGCUGAAAUCUAGCUCAUCAAUAUCAGAUUUGGUGGCAAAUAAACAUGCACUUUUCAAUUUAAUUUCAGAAGCAACACUAGAUGGUUUAUUAUUAGGCUUCAUUUGUUGCUCAAAUUCUUUUGCCACAAUCUGAUUUUCACUCUUAUUCUUCUCCUGUUGUGCUUUAUUAGCUCUAUUAAUAUCAUCUUUCAAAAUGGAAUCAGGAGUCAUAGGAAGCAAAGUAAUAUUUUUAUCCUUAUGAACAAGAGUAUAGUGAUUGUUUCUACCAUGGUGUACAGAAUUUUUAUCAAAUUGCCAUGGUCUACCAAGUAAUAAGGAACAUGCUUGCAUAGGUACCACAUCACAAUCAACAUAAUCAGCAUAUGUAGAGAUACUAAAAUGCACACGAACAGUACGUGUUACCUUAACCUUGCCGCUGUUGUUGAACCAUUGGAUGUAGUAAGGAUGUGGAUGUGGUCUUGUGGUGAGAGAAAGCUUCUCCACCAUCUCCAUGCUAGCUAAGUUGUUGCAGCUCCCUCCGUCUAUUAUGACGCGCACAGAACGUUCCUUCACAACUCCCUUGGUAUGGAACAAAUUGUGCCUCUGAUUUUGCUCAGCUUGUGUGACCUGCACACUCAAAACACGUUGAGCAACUAAACAUUCAUACCUGUCAGCGUCUUCAGGAGCCAUGUAUUGCGUCUCAUGAUCAGAAUCAUCUCCACCAUGUUCUUCACGUGUAAUAAGAGCCAAUGUCUCCUCAUCAUAGUCACUAGCGGACGCAUAUCCACCAUCCGCGGUAGCAAUCAUCACACGCGGAGAUUUGCAUUCCCUCGCAUAAUGACCUCCUCCCUUACAACGACGACAAAUAAUAUCACUUGUGUGCCCUGUUGAUGCCAUGGAAGAAGAAGAACGCUGUGCAGGACCCGCAGGUGCGCUCUUGGAAGAUAAUGGUGGUUGUGCCUGUUUUCUUGUAUCACGGCUGGAGCUGGCACCGGAUGGAGGUGCUGGUGCAGUUGAAGUAGAAGAUGCACGUGGUGUCCAUGAUGAAGGUCGGCCUGCAGAAAAGUUAGUUCGCCCCAAUGCUUGCCGAUCCUGCACUUCACGUUCAGCUUUACAAGCAAGAUGGAAUAAACGAGUGAUAUUAGUAUACUCCUUAUAGUCUAGAAUGGUCUGAAUCUCUCUAUUUAAUCCACCCAGAAAACGUGCAAGCAUAGCUUCAUUCUCCUCAACAAUACCACAUCUAAUCAUGCCAAUUUGUAAUUCCUGAUAAUAUUCUUCUACAGAAUUUUUCCCUUGUCUUAAACGCUGCAAUUUUUGAAGCAAUUCACGUUGAUAAUAUGGUGGAACCCAACGCGUACGCAUAGCAGUUUUCAAAGCAGCCCAAGUAGUUGGAAUAGGAUAUAAUCUACAAUGUUCAGACCACCAUACACAUGCAAAACUAGUGAAAGCACAAACAGCAGCAGCAACUCGUCUCUCCUCAGGAUAUUGUAAACAUGUAAAUCGUUGUUCAGUUUCUAACUCCCAAGUAAGAUAUAUAUCAGGAACAUAUCUACCCUCAAAUGGUGGAAUAUUCAAUUUCAGUUUAGGAAUAUGGACAUCAUCGCGUACCUGAGGUGGUGGUGCAGGCCUACCAUUACGAAUAUAUACCUGAGGUCGACCUGCUGGUGGUGGUACAGGUGGCUGCACGUAGUGUUGAUUUUGAUCAACCUCAUCCUCAUAGUCUCCCACAUAAUCAUCCUCCUCCACAUCAGCAGCAGGAGCCACAGAAGUAUCAACAGCAGCACCAACAGUUUGGCCAAACGCAAGAGGAACACGGCUUGCUCGGCGGAGGUCUGCUUCGCGACGUGGAGGUAGUCGUUGUUGUUGUUGUUGUUGGAGAGGUGCGUUAGCUGCAGCGGGUGGUGGUGGUGGAAGACGCGCGAGCAAUUCAUUAAACUUGUUAUCGAGCUUUGUUUCGAACGUCUUCUCAAAGCCAGUGAUCUUCUCCAUGGCCUCUUCAAAAUUGUUCAGCACAUCUUGCACCUGUUCAGUCAUCAUUUGCUGAAACUUAUCAUGAAGCUCCUUGUUCGAUAAAUUCUCCCAGUCAAUCUCGUCGGCUUGUGAUCCUGGCAUGGUUAGCAGCUAUAGAAACACACAAGAAUAUGAUCCUACAGACUACGAACAAGUGGUGGUGGUGGGUGUCACAAAUCCGUCAAGCAAAUCUCAAAUUCUUACCAGUUCUUACCCAGCAGCAGGCGGUGAUCGGCAACCGUUGUAGUCAAAAACUCUCAAAGCUUGGAUAGAGCGAUUACCAGGGAGAGUCAAACGCACGACGUAGAUGUAUGUGGAGCUGGGAAGGCUUAUAAUAUGGUAGCAAAAAGGGUCAGCAAUAAUCAAUUCAGAGAUGCAAAGUUGAAUAAACGCUCAACGACGGUACUGUGCUGGUCCUAGGCUAGACUGUGCUAGAGACGCGAGCCUAGAACACUAACAAAAUCACGGCGCGGCACGUAAACAAGGGAAAAGCACACUCUGGAACUUUUUUUUUUUCGUUCUUUUUUUUUUUGCGCUCUUUUNNNNNNNNNNNNNNNNNNNNNNNNNNNNNNNNNNNNNNNNNNNNNNNNNNNNNNNNNNNNNNNNNNNNNNNNNNNNNNNNNNNNNNNNNNNNNNNNNNNNNNNNNNNNNNAGACGCGAGCCUAGAACACUAACAAAAUCACGGCGCGGCACGUAAACAAGGGAAAAGCACACUCUGGAAAUUUUUUUUUGCGCUCUUUUUUUUUUGCGCUGCUUUUUUUUUUUUUUGCGAAAAAUCACUAUAAUGGCGAGUGUCUCAAAACUCUUCUUAGCUCAAACUGACAGGAUGGGCACGAAAUUUUUUUGACCAAUUUUUUUUUUUUUGACUGCCCGGACCCAAAAACUGGAAACGGGUCAAAAAAAACUUCCUAUAAUGGCACCUGUCUCAAAACACUCAGAAACACCUAAAAAUAGGAUAGCCAGAAAUUUUUUCGAAAAAUGCGUUUUCGAAAAAUUUUGGGCCUAAACGGAGCGUGGCUACCCGACUCCGGCAAGGAAACACGAAUCGGAAUCUAGANNNNNNNNNNGGGCACGAAAUUUUUUUGACCAAUUUUUUUUUUUUUGACUGUCCGGACCCAAAAACUGGAAACGGGUCAAAAAAAACUUCCUAUAAUGGCACCUGUCUCAAAACACUCAGAAACACUUAAAAAUAGGAUAGCCAGAAAAUUUUUCGAAAAAUGCGUUUUCGAAAAAUUUUGGGCCUAAACGGAGCGUGGCUACCCGACUCUUUUUUUUUUUUUUUUUUCCGAAACCUACUCCGGCAAGGAAACACGAAUCGGAAUCUAGAUGGAUCUCGAAAACAAACCUAAUAUGCAAAAUUACUAGAAAGACCAGAACUCGAAACUCCCAAGGAACUAAAUUACCAGGUACACUAGGAACACUAGGUACAAUUCUAUGACAGCGGUGGUGGUAUAUGACAGCUGUGGUGGUAUAUGGAUACGGAUUCGAAGCGGUGGCGGAUAAGCGGUGGUGGUAGAUGGCAGGGGUGAUGAAAAACCUACUCCGGCGGCGUGACAACUUAUGACCAGAACUCGAAACUCUAAAAGACUAGACUCUAAGACCAGCAACUAGACACGACGAUGCAACCGCAAAUUCAACAAAGCAAAACCCUAAAAAGAUUAUGCAAAGGCUCAGAUUGGUUCGGAUAUGAUGAACUAACCCUAAUUUUUUUUUGUGGCUUUUUCGUGGACUGUAGGUAUGAAGAACAGACUCGAUCUAAACUACGAAAAACAGUAAAAUCUCACCGAGCAACCUGGAAAUCUGAUACCACUUGAUAGAGGCAAAGGUGUCCCGUCUUUCGAUGAGAUGGUGGAUUUCGCUUUGGUGGAAGUCGACUUUGACGAUCCGACUACGAACGUGCGAGGACGUCGCGCCUUAGCAAUCGCUAAACCAACUCCGAGAGGUUAUUGACCACGCCGCAGCACGAUCAACCUGACCACGAGGGUCUGUUUCCUGCGAGCAAACGAAGAACAAGCAAGAAACUAAGAUUGCAAUCUGGAUAUUGCGAAUAUAAGAUGAAAGCUUUAUUGAUCAAGGUGGGGUUCUGUGACGCCUUUGUCUGGUCGUUGAACACAAACGAAGUACGCGAAGUUGCAGCUAUGGCGAACUUUUAAUCUAAACAAAACCCAAAGUCUAAACGAUGCCCUAAGGGCUGUAUAUAUGGAGGAAGAGGGGGGGAAUUUCGUGGCCCUUGGUGGAGGGGUCCGAAAUCAACCCUAUCUCUUGUUUCCCCACACAUACUGACUCUAAAAAUAGCCUAUACUUAUGUAUUUCGAAAUUACAUGGGCCUGGCCCAAUAAUAAGGUGACGCAGCACCUAAAAUAGCCUCGGGACGAAAUUUAUGAAGUGGCAUCUUGUAUAUUUCGUCCAAGGCUUCAUGCACCCAUUAUGGUGGCUUCAAAGUCCUGAAAUCAUCACUUGUAACUCCGUUCUUGUUCCCCUUGCGCAUGCCAUCAUCUCCAUGCUUGUUCUUGCUCCAAUGUUCAUCCUUCUCCAAGCUAGGCCCUUCAUUUGUAAGCAAAACAAAUGUAUCCAAUUUAGGCAGCAUCAUAUUCUCAUGAACAUUAGAAUCAUUACCAAGAAACGAAAGUACCUGGUAAUUUAGUUGGCGUGCACGAGCUCUAGUAAUUGGUCCAGUAUGUAUAGCAGCAGGGGCUAUGGGUGUAACAAUUGUAUUGAUGUCCUCAUCAAGAUAUGUUCCUGAUAUAUAUCUUACUUGGGAGUUAGAAACUGAACAACGAUUUACAUGUUUACAAUAUCCUGAGGAGAGACGAGUUGCUGCUGCUGUUUGUGCUUUCACUAGUUUUGCAUGUGUAUGGUGGUCUGAACAUUGUAGAUUAUAUCCUAUUCCAACUACUUGGGCUGCUUUGAAAACUGCUAUGCGUACGCGUUGGGUUCCACCAUAUUAUCAACGUGAAUUGCUUCAAAAAUUGCAGCGUUUAAGACAAGGGAAAAAUUCUGUAGAAGAAUAUUAUCAGGAAUUACAAACUGGCAUGAUUAGAUGUGGUAUUGUUGAGGAGAAUGAAGCUAUGCUUGCACGUUUUCUGGGUGGAUUAAAUAGAGAGAUUCAGACCAUUCUAGACUAUAAGGAGUAUACUAAUAUCACUCGUUUAUUCCAUCUUGCUUGUAAAGCUGAACGUGAAGUGCAGGAUCGACAAGCAUUGGGGCGAACUAACUUUUCUGCAGGCCGACCUUCAUCAUGGACACCACGAGCAUCUUCUACUUCAACUGCACCAGCACCUCCAUCCGGUGCCACCUCCAGCCGUGAUACAAGAAAACAGGCACAACCACCAUUAUCUGCCAGGAGCGCACCUGCGGGGCCUGCACAGCGUUCUUCUUCUUCCAUGGCAUCAACAGGGCACACCAGUGAUAUUAUUUGUCGUCGUUGUAAGGGAGGAGGUCAUUAUGCGAGGGAAUGCAAAUCUCCGCGUGUGAUGAUUGCUACCGCGGAUGGUGGAUAUGAGUCCGCUAGUGACUAUGAUGAGGAGACAUUGGCUCUUAUUACACGUGAAGAACAUGGUGGAGAUGAUUCUGAUCAUGAGACGCAAUACAUGGCUCCUGAAGACGCUGACAGGUAUGAAUGUUUAGUUGCUCAACGUGUUUUGAGUGUGCAGGUCACACAAGCUGAGCAAAAUCAGAGGCACAAUUUGCUCCAUACCAAGGGAGUUGUGAAGGAACGUUCUGUGCGCGUCAUAAUAGACGGAGGGAGCUGCAACAACUUGGCUAGCAUGGAGAUGGUGGAGAAGCUUUCUCUCACCACAAGACCACAUCCACAUCCUUACUACAUCCAAUGGUUCAACAACAGCGGCAAGGUUAAGGUAACACGUACUGUUCGUGUGCAUUUUAGUAUCUCUACAUAUGCUGAUUAUGUUGAUUGUGAUGUGGUACCUAUGCAAGCAUGUUCCUUAUUACUUGGUAGACCUUGGCAAUUUGAUAAAAAUUCUGUACACCAUGGUAGAAACAAUCACUAUACUCUUGUUCAUAAGGAUAAAAAUAUUACUUUGCUUCCUAUGACUCCUGAUUCCAUUUUGAAAGAUGAUAUUAAUAGAGCUAAUAAAGCAAAACAGGAGACGAAUAAAAGUGAAAAUCAGAUUGUGGCAAAAGAAUUUGAGCAACAAAUGAAGCCUAAUAAUAAACCAUCUAGUGUUGCUUCUGAAAUUAAAUUGAAAAGUGCAUGUUUAUUUGCCACCAAAUCUGAUAUUGAUGAGCUAGAUUUCAGCAAAUCUGUUUGCUAUGCUUUUGUGUGCAAAGAGGCAUUAUUUUCAUUCGAGGACGUGCCUUCCUCUUUGCCUCCUGCUGUCACUAACAUUUUGCAGGAGUUCGCUGACGUCUUUCCACAAGACGUGCCACCGGGAUUACCGCCUAUUCGAGGGAUUGAGCAUCAAAUUGACUUAAUUCCCGGUGCUUCACUGCCAAACCGUGCACCAUACCGUACCAAUCCAGAGGAGACGAAGGAGAUUAUGCGUCAAGUACUACUUGAUAGAGACGAGGGUCCCGAUCUUUCGAUGAGAUGAUAACUAUCGAUUUGAUGGAGACGACUUUCACGAUCCGACUACAAAUGUGCACGACGUUGCACCUUAGCAAUCGCUAAACCGAUCUCCUGAGGUUACUGACGAUGCUGGAAGCACGGUCAGCCUGACCACGAAGGUCUAUUCCUGCAAGCAAUCGAAGAACGAGCAAGAAUAUGAUAAAGCAAUCUGAAUAUUGCAAAUAUAUAUGAAGUAUUGAUAAUGGUGGGGAUCCGGAAGCGGUCUUGGUCUGGUCGUUGGACACAAACGAAGUACACGAAGUUGCAAUGGCUAACUUUUAACUAAACAAAUCCCAAAGUCUAAACGAUGCCCUAAGGGCUGUAUAUAUGGAGGAAGAGGGGGGGAAUUUCGUGGCCCUUGGUGGAGGAGUCCGAAAUCAACCCUAUCUCUUGUUUCCCCACACAUACGGACUCUAAAAAUAGCCUAUACUUAUGUAUUUCGAAAUUACAUGGGCCUGGCCCAAUAAUAAGGUGACGCAGCACCUAAAAUAGCCUCGGGACGAAAUUUAUGAAGUGGCAUCUUGUAUAUUUCGUCCAAGGCUUCAUGCACCCAUUAUGGUGGCUUCAAAGUCCUGAAAUCAUCACUUGUAACUCCGUUCUUGUUCCCCUUGCGCAUGCCAUCAUCUCCAUGCUUGUUCUUGCUCCAAUGUUCAUCCUUCUCCAAGCUAGGCCCUUCAUUUGUAAGCAAAACAAAUGUAUCCAAUUUAGGCAGCAUCAUAUUCUCAUGAACAUUAGAAUCAUUACCAAGAAACGAAAGUACCUGGUAAUUUAGUUGGCGUGCACGAGCUCUAGUAAUUGGUCCAGUAUGUAUAGCAGCAGGGGCUGUGGGUGUAACAAUUGUAUUGAUGUCCUCAUCAGAAUUCACCUUGUGUCCAAUGGCGCAUAGUCGAGGUCUCAUCUUAUGUAUCCUUGGGGCUUGGAGAGUAGUCGGAGUGUACAUGGGAAUGAACGUGGGAUGCUCCGCAUCAAAACACCAUCGAGCGCCAAGUACAACGACUAGCGACCAAGCUCAACAUCAACAAGCAACCCAUGAUCUUCAGCAUAGGCGAUCUCGUGUGGCUACACCUUCGCAAGGAACGCUUCCCCAACGAACGCAAGUCCAAACUUCUACCUCGAGCCGAUGGACCCUUCAAGGUGUUAGCACGCUACAACAACAAUGCCUACAAGCUCGAUCUACCAAGCGACAAGUACAACAUGAGCGACACCUUCAACGUCAAAGACCUCUCGCCUUUCCAUGGUGAUGAAGAUCUUGAUCCGAGGUCGGAUCCUUUUGAAGGGAGGGGAUAUGAUGCGGAGCAUCCUUCCAUCAUCCCCAUGGACUCUACAUCAACACAUCCAACCCCACAAGGACCUAUGACUCGAGCACGUGCAAGAGCUCUUGAAACCGAGGUGACAUCACUCCUCUCACAAUUCCCUUUCGAUUCACAUGAGACAUGGUUACUACCUCAAACGAAAACGCUAUGCAUACUCAGGUACCAAGGAGUUAACCGUGAAGAAGCUAGGAAGCAAGGAGAACCAGAAGCGAAAGACAUGCAUGAAGACGGAGAGGAAAAAGCACCAAGGCCCAGGAUGGCCGGACUAUCCGGACGGCGGCCUGGACGAUCCAGAUAAAGCCCGGACGAUCCGGCUAACUCACCUGAAGACUCCCGAAGCUCCCACCUAAAGCCGGAUCAUCCGGACCCAGUCCCGGAUCAUCCGGACCCUGCCCGAACAUCCGGACCACCAGCCGGACAUCCGGCCCUGCGCCGCCACCAGUUGGGCAUCUAGCUCAUCCGGGCCUCCAUCCGGACCAUCCGGACCGGCCCGGAUCAUCCGGCCCCUGGCUCGGAUCAUCCGGCCAGCGCCUGCGCGCGCGUGUUGGGCUGAGCCCAUGUACCCCUUUGCCCCCUAGUCUAUUUAUAGGACCCCCUCUCCUCACUUUGAGACUUAGCAUUGGAUUAGCUCAUAUUUGUGUGAGAGCCUUUGCUCAUCCACUUGGAUACUUCUUGAUGCGGAGCAUCCUUCCAUCAUCCCCAUGGACUCUACAUCAACACAUCCAACCCCACAAGGACCCAUGACAAGAGCUAGAGCACGUGCUUUGGAAACCGAGGUGAACUCCUUCCUACUAGACUUGCAUAUGAACCCAAAUGGAACGUGUAUACUACCUCACCAAAAUGUGCUAUGCCUCCUUAGGUACGAAGAGGAACACCACCAAGGAGCUCAGGAGCGUCCCCAAGAAGAAGGAGAACCACCCCAAGGCCACGAGGACCAAGCACGAGAACAACAGCAGCAGCACAGGAGGCUCCAGGCAACCCCGUGCGCACGGGCCCCCAAGACCCCGUGCCCACGGGCUACUCAGGGAGUUGACGCUGGAGCACCUCGUGCGCACGGGCUUGUAUCGUGCCCACGGGACCCCCGUGCGCACGGGCCCAACUUACCCCGUGCGCACGGGCCUCCCAGGAUGGACGGCUAUGAUGAUGACUUCGGCUCCACUUCUCCUCCUUCGACCCCAAGCCUAUAUAAUUCGUACCUAGGGCCAUGUUUAGGGUUAGCAAAGUAUUAGAUGAGAUCUUGGUGAGCUUUGCUCCAUUACCUUCCCUCUUUGAGGAUCAAGACCCCAUAGGGAAGAAUCCUUGAGGAUUUCAAGACCUCCAAUAGGAGAAGACUAUCUACUACCACCAAGACCCCUCUUCCUUUGGAUUUGGGAUGAACUUUGCCAUUGUAUCUUUCCUUUGAUUGUGUUUGAGACUUGUGGAUCUUGUGUUGUUACUCUAGUGUGAUGAGGACAUCAAUACCACUGUUACACCCACAGCCCCUGCUGCUAUACAUACUGGACCAAUUACUAGAGGUCGCGCACGCCAACUAAAUUACCAGGUACUUUUAUUUCUUGGUAAUGAUUCUAAUGUUCAUGAGAAUAUGAUGAUGCCUAAAUUGGAAUCAUUUGUUUUGCUUACAAAUGAAGGGCCUAGCUUGGAGAAGGAUGAACAUUGGAGCAAGAGCAAGCAUGGAGAUGAUGGCAUGUGCAAGGGGAACAAGAACGGAGUUACAAGUGAUGAUUUCAGGACUUUGAAGCCACCGUAAUGGGUGCAUGAAGCCUUGGGCGAAAUGUACAAGAUGCCACUUCAUAAAUUUCGUCUAGAGGCUAUUCUAGGUGCUGCGUCACCUUAUUAUUGGGCCAGGCCCAUGUAACUUCGAAAUACAUAAGUAUAGGUUAUUUUUAGAGUCCGUAUGUGUGGGGAAACAAGAGAUAGGGUUGAUUUCGGACCCCUCCACCAAGGGUCACGAAAUCCCCCCCCCUCUUCCUCCAUAUAUACAGCCCUUAGGGCACCGUUUAGACUUUGGGUUUUGUUUAGAUUAAAGUUCGCCAUAGCUGCAACUUCGCGUACUUCGUUUGUGUUCAACGACCAGACAAAGGCGUCACAGAACCCCACCUUGAUCAAUAAAGCUUUCAUCUUAUAUUCGCAAUAUCCAGAUUGCAAUCUCAGUUUCUUGCUUGUUCUUCGUUUGCUCGCAGGAAACAAACCCUCGUGGUCAGGUUGAUCGUGCUCCGGCGUGGUCAAUAACCUCUCGGAGUUGGUUUAGCGAUUGCUAAGGCCCGACGUCCACGCACGUUCGUAGUCGGAUCGUCAAAGUCGACUUCCACCAAAGCGAUAUCCAUCAUCUCAUCGAAAGAUGGGACACCUUUGCCUCUAUCAAGUGGUAUAAGAUUUCCAGGUUGCUCACUGAGAUUUUACAGUUUUUCGUAGUUUAGAUCGAGUCUGUUCUUCAUACCUAUAGUCCACGAAAAAGCCACAAAAAAAUUAGGGUUAGUUCAUCCUAUCCGAACCAGUCUGAGCCAUUGCAUAAUCUUUUCUGUAUUUGCGUUGUUGAAUUUGCGGUUGCAUCGUCGUGUCUAGUUGCUGGUCUUAGAGUCUAGUCUUUUAGAGUUUCGAGUUCUGGUCAUAAGUUGUCACGCCGCCGCCGCACCAUCAUCAUCGCCCCUGCCAUCUACCACCACCGCUUAUCCGCCACCGCUUCGAAUCCGUAUCCAUAUACCACCAUCGCUGCCAUAU